rnacentral:lncRNA from 1 species
CGUACCUUCUGUCAUAAUUUCGAUUUCUGUACCCGAUUUUUAGGCGGGGAAUUUUGCUUGUGAUUCGUCCUCGUUCGCAAUUUGCAAGAGAGUGGGACGUUUCGAGCCUAAUUCCCUUAUCUCCGGAGAUGGAGCUGUCAAAGAAAAUUGGAUUAGGGUUAGACCGGGACUCCCGUAUGUUAUAUUUAUAUACAACUUAAUGUAAGGAUGUUAAAUCACGUCCGUCCAUUAAGGACGUGUUCAGAUACACCCUAACCGUUCGAUCUAUCGUAUCUUUAUAGAUCGACUUGAAUUGACCGAUUGUAUCUUUAUAGAUCGCCUUGAAUAAAUCACAUGGGCCACAUCCAACACCAGAUUCGUUUUUGAAGUAUCUAACAUGUAUCGGGCAUGUAUUAAUAAGUUUCAUUGAGAAGAUCGAGCAGAAGGCGCUGAGUACUGUUAUGACAUAUUUAGUAUCUUAUGCUAUGUUAGGAUACUGUAUAUUGCAACAUAUUUAGAGUAGGAUUUUAUGGUAUGACAUAUAGAGUAUUUUUAUAUGGUGUGUAAUCCUAAUUGUAUUGUUUACUAUAGUAGGCAUUGUUACUAUAGUAGACUUAUCUCUUGUACUAUAUAAUUUCAUCAAUAGAACCCAAGAGAGCAUGCUCUUUUGCCCUUCUAUCAUAGUGUUAGAGGCAAAAACCCUAAUCCGGGGAUAUUGAUCCAUAAGCACCUUCCACCACAAAUCACACCUUCUCCAUAGGUGUUUUUUUUUAUUGGUAUUUUUAUUCUUGCUGCUGCCGCCGGUCUCUCCUUGUUGUGUUGGUGUCGCUCGGCUCAUCUCUGGUGCGUUGCCUUGAUUGGUGCUGCUCGAAGCAUCCCUGCUGCCACUGGUUCUCUCGUCUUGCUGGUGUCGCCUGGAUCAUCCUUGGUGCCACUCGAAUUCUCCUUACCUAUUUGGUGCUGUUUGAUCCAUCCCCUUCUUGCCUUGUUGGUGCCGCUUGUUGGUGUCGCCUGGUUCAUCUCAGGUACUACUGGUUCAUCCUUGCCUGCCUGGCAGUGUUUGAAAAUGUGUGAGGCGUGGUGUCACGCCCCGAGACCGCUACCAAUUUGGUCUGGUUUGAGCGCGUCAAACAGACGCCGGACGGACAGCACCUCCUUUAUCCGCCCAAGGCUCGACAGCAAGAUCAUGUACAUAGAAUUGCCCAGGAAUAAUUCAAUUACAUACAUGAUAAGCGCGAAGCACCACAAGUGUUAACAAGUAAGAGCAAGACACAAGUAUACAAUACAAGUGAAUAAAGAGAGGUACAUCUAGUUAUUACAUCCAUUCAACCAUUCUUUUACACUUGGUUUACAUUUGUAUCAUCCAAAAUGAAUAUACAAGUUUCUAGCAGCUAGUCUAACUCAAAAUACAUGUAACUCUCUAAUGUAUACAUCAACAUCCCAAGGUACAUACGUACUCUAAUGUAUCUGGAGGCUGCUAGCUAAACUAGGGCACGAUGCCCUUACCACGGUCCUCGCCGGGCGCACUCGAACUCGGCCCUGCAACAAAGUGGGGUGAAAACUAUUGUCCAUAGUUCCCAGUGGGUUCGGCCGCCGACUCCGCCGAUCUCCCCACUAGGUCUAAGCAGGCAUAAGCAGAUAGAUAGAUAGAUUGAUAGAUAUCGAAAACUGUAACUGAUGCAUAAUAAAAGAACUGCACUAUACUACUAUGCCUUAGGAAACAAGAGUGAACAACAUAGCCAUGAAAUCACCAACAUGCUACUAUAUCUCUACCAAGUAUGAAUGCAAUUCUACUAUGCUUAAUAUGCUCAAUGUGCAUAAUUCUCAUGAGUUCAUUACCCAAUCCUCUGGCUGACCCGUAGGUGCGCCCUCGACUCACAUCUCAAAAUCCCUCUAUAUCGGGGGACUCGAACCACCCGAGGGACCGUCUGCGGGAACCCAAAUAGGUUAUCCCUUGGGACCCCAAAUAGGCUAUCCCAAUCCCACACGUGCCAAACUCCGAAGCGCACUAGUGCGGAGCGACCGCCACAAGCGCUGACCAGACUAUGUGAGUAUGAUCCAAUCCUCGUCACAGAGAAUACCCCGUCACUAGGGUCAUCGACGUCACACCAAUCUCAUGCAAGGUGUAAAGUAGGGAAACUCACCUAUUCCCUAAGUCAUCAUGUCACAAGUGUUCUUUUGACACUAAACUCUAAUGCCACUCGUCAAGUUAUUCACUUGGUUCACAUGCCACUUGUCAUGGUGCAAUGUUUCGACUACACUAGUCAUAUAUCAUCAUAUUUGUCAAUGCAAGAUCGAGUUAUUACUUAUCUUAUCUCUAUAGGGUUCUAUGUCACAACGGCUCAUUCUCAUGCACCCUAAACUCACGUGCCGAGCCUACUAUGCCGCACUACAAGGGAGCAUGUAAGAAUAGUAAAUGUAACAUCUAAACACCCUAUCAUGCAUACGAUUGCAUAAGGAAUAUGAUCAACAUAAUGUACUUAGACAUAGGGAGAAGCCCAGUUGCUUCGGGAUAGGGAUGUACUUAGACAAAACCCUUGAAUUGUCAAGGAGACCCAAACCAAACCCGUUGUGAGGAGACAAAGGGUUUUGUAACUCCCCUAUCAAUGGUGAAAAUUCAAGGGUUAUGAAACUCCCAUGAGUUAUGGGGUGACUUUUGGGCUUAUGGCUUAUUAUGAGGAUGAGUUAAUGUGUCUCAUACUGAGAGAGUUAGUGUGUGUCUAGGUUCAUUGUAUUUAGGAGCCUAUAAGUAGUGGGGUUUGGUUAAGGUCAAAACACACAAGAGAGAGUGUGUAUGCGAGUUGUAAUUCUCAUUUUCUAAGUAGUGUAGUACUUAGCUUUUUGAGAGAACCUCUGUCUUUCUCUUUGUCAUUUCCUUUGCAUAUUUAGUCGUAGGACGCGAAGGUUCGGGCUAGCAAUAGGGACGAAGGCUUGCCCAUCUUCUAGCAGGAAUGUAGGCGCCGCACGGGCUUUACGAACAAAAACGCUAAGGCCGUGACAUCAGGCUGCGCCGGGAGGCAUGCGGACGGCGGGGGCCGGCGGCGACGGCGCCAGAGGUUGAGCCUCGGCUGAGGAAGGGUGGCGCGGUUGGUUCCAGGCAGCACCAGUGCGCGAGAUGAAUGCCGGCCUGGGUUCGGCCCGAGCUGGUCCAGCUCGGCCGCAGGGCGCCCAGGCCGCGACGGCGGCGCGUGGGGACGGCGGCGGCCGGCACGGCGGGACGGCAGAGGUCGGGGCCGCUGCCAGAGGUGACGCCCGAGGGUACUGAUCACCCUGGUAGGUUCCACGGGCAGGGGUGGUUGGGAAGAUGAUAGAGGUGAUGGAGGAGGAGGAGGAGGAGGAGGAGCAGCUAGCUCCGGCGGCUGGCGGCUUGCUCAGGCGGCCGGGGCGCGCGUACGGGGUGGGCAGGGAGGAGCUGAGGUGGCUAGGAGGGCUAGGGUUAGCUGGGGAUGGAUUAGAGUUAGGGUUUCACAUGGGAACCCUAUAGCUACUAUAUAUACAGUGGUUUAAUUGCAGUUUAGUCCUCCGAAGUUGUAAAAUUUCAACCCAGUCCCUGCCCGUGCGUGUAAUAUGCGAGUACGCACCUCGACGUUCGAAUUCUCGCAAAACGACACAUAAAAUAUUAGGGUUUUCACGAUUUUUCCGUUUUGCCGAUUUCGACCCCAUUGCGAAUAAUUUGCGAUUCUCGAAGAUCCGUCCGUCGGAUUUCCGAAUGGAUCACGCCAGCGCGUUCAGCAUGACUAGGGCAUCAAAUCUAGCACUUCGUUUCGUUUGAUCUGGUCAUCGAUUUGCGACGAAAUCCACCUAUUGUUUCCACUAUAAAACAUACACAUAUAUAUAUAAAUCCAAUAAAACCCUUUUUCUCGAAAAUCGUGAAUCAGAACCCAAAUCCGGCAGUGCCAUUGGUUCCAGAAUAGUUGAACCGUUCAAAACGAGCUAUUGGAUUGCUAUGAACGGAGUCCGAUACGCACCGAAAGCCAUCUCCAUUGAUCGGCCUCUCCGAAAAAUCGGAGUUACUAUUCACUUUAAGUGAUUAGUAUUAAUCCCGUAAUUUCUCCAUUCUAACUCGUUUUCUCCUGAAACUUGACGAGUGUCUUUGUAAUUAAAUUACACACAAAAAUAUCGUCAGCACAGAGUUUAUCUGUACAGCAAAAAUCUCGGUUUUUACAUUAAUUUUUUAAUUUAUCAAUAUACGGACAAAAGAUUUCUCUGAGCUCUUCGCUUCCACCAUAGACAUCUAUUUUUUCUUCACAAAUUAUUUUAUCAAAAUUUUCGCACCGCAAAUUUUUUUGGCAAAUUCAGGCAAAAAAUUUUUUGGCAAAUUUUUUGGCAAAUCGAACUCAAUAAACAAAUUUUAAGGCAUAUCAAACAUAACAUUUUAUUUUUGCGCUAGAAGAUUGAAGAUACUGAUAAAAUUAAAAGCUAAAUUAAAUCAAUUGAUACUUAAAUUUAUAUAAUUUAUUUGUCAAAUAAUUUAUUGCUUAAUUCUUUUGAUUGAUCUACUAAUUUUUUUAAAAAAUUAAUUUUUUUUGAGAAAGGAAAAAAAAUAAUUUUUUCAAAUACUUUUUAAAAUAAUUUUUUAAAAUAAUUUUUAAAAUUAUUUUUCUGUAUUUUAUAAAAGAACGAUUGUAAUAUGGUCAAAAAAAAGAAAAAAAGAUGUCUUUGCAUUUUAAAAAUUCUAACCUGUAAAAAUUUUUAUUUUGCAUCAGGUUUAGUUGUACUUUACAUAUAAAAAAACUUACAAGUAUGUUAAUUGGUAAAUAUAGUAAGCUGUAUAUAGCAAAUAUUCAUAAUUAUUUGAUUAAAUCUUUCAAAAUAAAAUUAUAAGAGCUAAUUUGAACCAAAAAAACUAAAAAGAGUCGGUUCCAAAGCAUGCCAGUAGGAGGUUAUGCGUAUCCAUCGGCACGCAAGCGUUUCAUAUCGGCACGGAAGCGUGCCGGUGCCGUACCAUGCCAGGCAGACAGCGGCAUGCCCAUGUUCCAUGGUACUUUAAACCUUGUGGGAAAACAUAUUAAACUUUCGUUUUAUAAUUCAGAAUCUCAAUCUGCUUUUCCCUUUCAUAUUGUUCAUUUGGAUGUAUAACAAUCACCUGUUUCCUCACUUUCUGGCUAUGAAUAUUAUAUUAUUUUUAUUGAUGAUUACUUUUGGUUCUCCAUCAGCAUCUAUUGUGAUAAUCGCAGCACAACUUAUCUUGCGGCUAAUCCUGUUCUCCAUGCUUGAUCAAAGCAUAUUCAGCUUGACCAUCAGUUCUUACAAGAAAAAGUCCAGUUUGGUGUUUUGGACUUGGUUUACAUCUCUUCUGAUAUGCAACUUGCUGAUAUUUUCACCAAGCCUUUGUCGCCUUCUCGGUUUUCGGUGUUGUGGCUCAAUCUUCACAUCCGACUAUCUGAUGCUUAGCUUGCGGGGGGAUGUUACGACAUAUUUAGUAUCUUAUGCUAUGUUAGGAUACUGUACAUUAUGAUAUAUUUAGAGUAGGAUUAUAUAGUAUGAUAUGUAGAGUAAGAUUAUAUAGUAUGUAAUCCUAGUUGUAUUGUUACUAUAGUAGACUAGUUGAUGUGGUCAUUUACAAUGUAGUUGACGAGUUAACACGGGCGAAAUUGUGGAAGAAGUUGGAAGAUGUCUACUUGACCAAAUCCCUAAUAAACAAGUUGUAUCUGCAACAGAAGUUGUAUACAUUGUGGAUGCAGGAACUGAUGAGCCUACAUGAACAUCUAAACAAGUUCAAUAAGAUAGUAGUCUAAUUGACCAGCAUUGGAGUCAAUCUAUAUGACAAGCAUCUGGCGACUAUGUUGCUGUAUGUUAAGGAGACCAUAGGCAUGGAGGCAGUCACAGUAGCGCUUCUCUUGAACGAGAUGUGCAAGAUAACUAAGAAUUUCGGAAUGCGGAGCCGCUAUACGGCUCUGGCUGUAAGAAUGAAGGAGAUGAAAGCAUCGGUGAAUAGAGAUAGAAAAAAUCGUUAUCCAAGGUGAAGUGUCUACUUCACAAAAAAAGUCAUUUUAAGCGCAAUAAUCAUAAGUUUAAAAGUGAUCUAAAAGAGACAUAAGGAGAAAGCUUCCGUAAACCAUGACGUGGAGAUGACACUCUUUCUGAAUCUUCUUACCCUUCUUUCGUCUUCUAUAAAUUCCAAAAGAUGAAACUCUUUUUCUCUCUCACGUGCACCUAUGCGCUAGGUGUAGCAAACUAGUAAGGCCUCUUCUCUCUUUGUUGUUGUAGCUAGAGCACACUCACCCAACCAUACACGUCCCAAAGCUUCACCAAUAUAGCACGUGUAUAUAGCUACAUUAAAAUGCACCGUUAAAUCAUUACUCAAUAUAUCUUUGACAAAUUUAAAUCACUAUCAUAAUCUAAUUAAGAUUUAACGAAGAAUCUAACAAAAUCCUAUCAAUCUCCACCCUAGUUUGAUUUGUAAUUUUCAACCAUUGCUUCGAGGUAACUAGACAAGCUCUACCUUGAGUUUAUCUUCUCUGCUCAAUGUUGCUGCCUCCGUCGCUUCGCCUUUAGCAAUUGCACCUGAACCUCGGCGGACUUUUGAAACCCAAAUCGUCUUCACUCCCAUUUUGAUAGCUCUUCCAUUCAUAACGUAGAGUUCCCUCGCUUGUUUGCCUCGCACACAAUUUGACUUUAUUUUUGGACUCUUAUAGCUCUACCUAAAGCUAAAAAUUCAAAACAUUUCGAGUCCAAUGCACUUAACUAGAUAAAAUUCUGCUUCAAACUAGGAACUUGUCGUCCUUCUGUCAGUGUUCUUAUGACCUCAUCAUACAUUUUGAUCUUUACAUAGUCGACUCCCAAAACCUUAUGUGCCAUCCCGUUUCUAGUUAAGAUCUUUCCUACUUCUAAUUACUGUAUACGUGACAAAAGACUUUUUCUUUGGACAGAUGUGAAAGGAACAAGCCGAAUUGAGCACCCACACAUCAUCCAACAUUUUUGUAUCGCUACGCGCUACAUACAACACAUCAUAAUCGAUCACCUUUGAUUCUGUCUUCUGCACAGUCACUAAUGUCUCAUUGUCCUAGUUUACAGAAGGUUUCUUCUUUUGUUGCCUUAACUCUUUUAGAUCACUUUUAAGCUUGUAAUUGUUGCACUUAAAUUGACGUUUCUUAUGAUAGUAGAAACACUUCACCUUGGAUACUUUCAUCUCCUUUUUUCUUAUAGGCAGCGUCAUAUACCAGCUCUGCAUCCUGGACUUCUUAGUCAAUCUUGCGCAUCUCAUUCGAGAGAACCGCUACCAUGACUACCUCUACACCUAUGGACUCUUUGCCAUAGAGCAACGUAGUCACUAUAUGCUCGUUUGUUGCCAGUAGUGAAGAUAGCACCAUCAUCACCUUGUUCUCAUCAUCUAAAUUGGCUCCAAUGUUGGUCAAUUGGGCUACCACCUUGUUGAACUCGUUUAGCUGUUUGUGUGUGCUCACCAUUUCCUGCAUCCACAAUGUAUACAACUGCUGCUGCAGAUAUAACUUGUUCAUCAGGGAUUUAGUCUGGUAGAAAUCUUUCAACUUCUUCCACAAUUUCGUUGGUGUUGACUCAUCGGCUACGUUGUAAAUAAUCGCAUCUACUAACGAGAGAUGAAGGGUACUCAACGCCUUUUCAUCUAUUUUCUCUCAUACCGUUUUCGUGACCUCCCCAAGGAUUUUAAAUAAUCUUAUAUGUAAGAUAUAAUAGGAGUGAAACCUCUAAAUCUAACUAUAGCAUUUUUGACGGCAAUUAGGCCUAAGAGGUUAAGAAGGUUAUGUGUGCUAGGCUACAGUAGUUCCAGGAUAGGUGACCCCUCUGGGAAGUGGCGCGCCACAGUUGGUAUCCGAGUGGGUUGGCUAGCCAGAAGUGUGAGACGGGGUCUCACAUCGCUUGGUGAUCUGGGUUGUGAAUACGAUUGUGUGCUUGAGUCUGACAAGGGAUAUUUGGGUUUAAGAGAGUAGAGUUUGUGAUAUCCCAAGGCUUGAGAAUAGUUCCACAUCGGGUAGCUAUGGCUAGGUGUGGGGGUAUAUAAACCUGAAUAAGCUAGACUCAAUAACUGGGCUAUAUUAUUUUGAGCUAGUGGAUUAGGCCCAGCAAGUUAUUGGGUCUAGGGUAAUUGGUCAAUUGAGUCGCGGGCUUAGCGAUGAGUGACCCCUGGGAUGCUGGUCGUGAGGAAUAGUCCAAUAUGUAAGGUAUAAUAGGACUAAACCUCUUAACUUUGCUAUAGUAUUUUAGGUUGUGGCUAGAGUUAAGAGAGUUAAGCAUGCUAGAGUUAGAGUAGUUUUAGACUGAGUGACCCCCUUGAAAGCAGGGUGUCAUAGUUUUCUAAAUUUGUUCUUUUAAGAAAACUAUUAGAUAAAUAUUUUGAUAUUUUAUUUUAUAUAAUAAUUGACAGUACUUCAGCAUAAUAUUAGUCAAACAAAGUUCUACAACAGACAGCACUUAUAUACCAAUAUCAGCCAACCACUCUUUUUUUUCACAUCAGAGCACUCUAUGCCGCCACACUUCUGCAACCGCACUAUUCUUAACAGCUUGGACAAACAUGCCCUUAAAUUUAAAUCCUAUUCAAUUUAUCUUUGGUAGAUUUAAAGUUUAAACAACCAUCCUAAUCUAAUUGAAGAUAUAACUCCAAAUCUAACCAAAUCCUAACAUAAUGUUCACCAACAGGUGUCCUAUUGGUACUAAUUAAAAAAUCGCUGUAAGGUUAUUUAUUUUCUCUUUGAUUUAUUUCCUUNGCCCAGCAAGUUAUUGGGUCUAGGGUACUUGGUCAAUUGAGUCACGGGCUUAGCGAUGAGUGACCCCUGGGAUGCUGGUCGUGAGGAAUAGUCCAAUAUAUAAGGUAUAAUAGGACUAAACCUCUUAACUUUGCUAUAGUAUUUUAGGUUGUGGCUAGAGUUAGAGUAGUUUUAGACUGAGUGACCCCCUUGAAAGCAGGGUGUCAUAGUUUUCUAAAUUUGUUCUUUUAAGAAAACUAUUAGAUAAAUAUUUUGAUAUUUUAUUUUAUAUAAUAAUUGACAGUACUUCAGCAUAAUAUUAGUCAAACAAAGUUCUACAACAGACAGCACUUAUAUACCAACAUCAGCCAACCACUCUUUUUUUUCACAGCAGAGCACUCUAUGCCGCCACACUUCUGCAACCGCACUAUUCUUAACAGCUUGGACAAACAUGCCCUUAAAUUUAAAUCCUAUUCAAUUUAUCUUUGGUAGAUUUAAAGUUUAAACAACCAUCCUAAUCUAAUUGAAGAUAUAACUCCAAAUCUAACCAAAUCCUAACAUAAUGUUCACCAACAGGUGUCCUAUUGGUACUAAUUAAAAAAUCGCUGUAAGGUUAUUUAUUUUCUCUUUGAUUUAUUUCCUUCUUUACUACGCUGAACUUGCUACUUUUUAGCAAGUUUAGAAGUCGUGUUUGACAAGAAUUGAAUUCUAUGGCUGAUGAUUGAAUGCCGAUCAUUCAGGCUUCUAAGAUCAUCUUGGUUUUCUGGACCUAUUAUUGUAACUCUACUGUAACCAUAAUUCUUUUGUUUUUAAAUUUUUGUUUUAUAAUACAGAGGCAUUUAUUCAUCAUACGAAGGCACUAACUUUGGUGAGGAAUCUGCUUCUAAGGUUGCUAUAUUUUAUUAUAUUUAGCUUUUCUUUCCUACACUGUUGUUGUUCGAAGAUUUAAUUUUAUUCCUUGCUAUUUCUCUCCUUAGGCUUUUGUAAAGGAUAAUCAAAUCGAAAUCAGUCGUCUAAAGGCUUUACUGGUAGAGCCUUCUGUUCCUACUACUGGAAUUGUUUGAGAUCUUGUAGUGGUAAGUGGUAACCUAUAUUAAUUCUAUGAUAACAAUUGUAGCAUCAAAAGGAAAUGGAGCUUUCCCGAUUGAAGCAGCAGAUAGAAGAGGAAAAGGUACUUUUGCUCUCAUUAUUUUGUAUUACAGAAAUUUUUUUUUCCUGCAGCUAAAGAAUAUUUCUAUAUUUACUUUUUUCUGCAAUAAUUUUUCUACUGAAAACUUAUACAGAUGGAAUGAGACCUUCAACGUUCUAUACUACGAAAUUUAGGUCCUCAUUUAAUAUUUUCACAAUUAAGUGUUAGCUGAACAAAUGGCGUUAGAGUAAGAAGUGCCAGAUACCAAAUCUGAGGUUUCUGUACUUACAAGUUGUUUAUUAUUAUUACAGAUUGACAACACUCACCCUCGAAGCUAUUUAAGAUUUGAAAGAUAUUGGGUAAUGGGGACUGAUAUGCCUUUUAUAGGAAGCAGCUUUAAGGUACUAAUAAACAUAAAAGGCAAAUUUCUACUUACCUGGGAUUUUUAUAAUACAAUUAAGGUUUCCUUAAGGCAUCUUAAUUUGACAUGUGGAUUGGGUACUUGGGUCAUCCGUAUAUGUAACAGUAACUUGGUUCGUUUAUAUAUUGGCAUAUUGAUUUCUUGGAGACCUUCCAUAUGAGCAUUAUUUUAUACAACAACUUUCCAGAUUACUAGCCACUGCCCUGUGCUCUUCUUGUCUGUCAUCCUUCUAUGGUGGCUAUUAUGUGGAUGGACCGAUCAAGCAAUAGGGAACUAGAAUUAAUGAAAUGUUAAAGCAUUGCAACCUACAGGAUUUGAAAUGUCAAAGCAUUGCAGCCUACAGUAUAUAGCUUUUAGCAUAUACUUAGACAAAUCAUGACUAGUGGAGCAAGGCUGUAAGCAUGUCAUGUAUGUAGAAGUGACACUUCUAUGUAUGUAGAAGUGACACUUCUAAUGGGGAAUCCCAAUCUUGCAUGAGAUUAAAAUCAGGAGGAGGUCACCAAAUACCAAGUUAUACCAGUCUGAGAAGAACAUUAAUAUGUGGUGUAUGCAACACGCACUCUUCAGUAAAUAAAUCUACCAAAUAUAUUCAAGAUCGAGCUUUACUAAAUCUAAAUCACAUUGAAAGGGCCAUUAUCAGUUAAAAGCAGUUCACAUAGGAACCAUAAGAUACUGUUAUUCAACCUAUCGCCUUCUGUGGAUCAAACAUUCUUGUAAUUUUGAGACGGAAUUCUCUAUGAGGUCUAUGGCCUUGUCAAUACCGUAUAUUAGAAGAAAGAGCAUAGAUGAGAGGAAGAUUAGAAGAUGGUCGAUGCCAUUUGUGUUAGAAAUUAUUGGCAGGGAAAGUAAACGUAGCAGAAAGUAAUUUCUGAAAUUAGAUAUUUUGUGAGGCCAAAUACAUAUCACACAUGAAAAUGAAAAAUCCAGAAAAACAACUUUCGGUAUGUACAGAUCAUUCUCAUAUUACUAUGCAGAAAUUUAAUCAAUACUUUACGUUCAAAAAUAUCACCUUGGACCUGUUAAGGUCCUUUGAUCUAUUGUAUGAUUGAAACUGAAUAUGAAAACUAGGUUCUGGCCAAGCCUUGCAUGUGCCUAUUCUCUACGCUUAUCCUUAUGGAAUUGAUACAGAUCUUAACAUAUUUUGUCGCGCGAAAUAGAUAAACCGUGGACUUUUCAGACUGUGUUAUAUGAGUCCCUCUGAAGUUUACAUUUCCAGAGUUCUCCCAAAAUAUAUAUAUAUAUAUAGCUAGAAUUGAUAUAUAGCUACACUUGUGUGCUUUAAAGGCAAGGUGAUCUCCGUACUAUCAAGUCGUUUUCGAUGCUUAUACUUCUGGAUCGACGAUUGGCUCUGUUAGACUUGAUCUAGAGUUUUUGAAGUAUCUAGAGGACCUAGAAAAUAAAUUUCAUGAUUUUUUGAUAUCAUUUUACCUUAUGAUCGAAAGGGUCCAAAAGUAACAAUUUUAAUGGUUGUGGGGACUGGGGAGCCAUUUGCUAGUUUAACGGUGUAGAAAUAUCCAAAUCUCGUGAAAUUUCAAUAGAAAAUUUUUUAUACUAUAUAAAACAAGAUCAAUAUUUUGAUCUAAAAUUUUAGUAUCAUACCAUCACUUUUUUGAGAUUUCUAAUUUAGCUGUUGAUUUUGAGUCCUUUCGAGUUUCGACCACUAGAUAAAUGAUAUCGAGAAAUCACAAAUAUUUUUUUUCUAGAUACUUCUAAUACUCUAGAUCAAAUCUAAUGGAGUUGAUUGUCGAUUUAGAAGUCUCAACAUCGAAAACGACUUGAUAGUAUGGAGGCCACCGUGGUUCAAAAGUGCACAAGCUGGACUCUCUCUCUCUAUAUAUACACACACACACACACACACGCACACACACACACACACACACACACAUCCCUAAGAGUAUCGAAGGGCUAAACAAUUUAAUUUUAAUGCCUCCAUUUGCCCGAAAAGAGCCAAUAGAAUAAGGGUGGCCUGCUUCCCUCCAACCAAAAUACUAAGAUAGUAGGCUCCGUACCAGGUCUAUAUCGUAUAAAGCCACCGUUGCGUCAUUAGCGUGGGCAUUGAUAGGGGUGUAAAAUGGGCUGGGCGGCAUGUGGGCCACCUGGCCUGGCACGGCUUCAGGCCGGGCUACAGCACGGCACGAUGUUUGGUAGCAGCCAUGUCGGCCCGAGCUUUCGGGCCGUGUUGGGCGGCUUCCCCUUGGGCCCGACGGCCCAGCAUGGCACAGCCCGAACCGUGCCUGGGCAGUGCUGGGUCGAAGUGAGGCUGGCGGCCCGGCAUGGCACGGCCCAUUUGGGCUGUGCAAUCUAGGCCAGCACGGCCCGGAUCCCAAGGCCCAACAACCCAAGACAACUUGCCUUGGGCCUUGGGGUUCGAGCUCUUGGGGAGAAGGGCUUGAAGGGCCAAGCCCUUCAAGCCCUUCAAGCCCUUCUCCCCAAGAGCUUUUCUCCUAAGGUCUGCAGGUAGACCUUGGGAGGGGUGAUUCUUGGUCCAAUGGACCAAAGACUUUUGGUCUAUUUGACCAAAAGCUUAUUUUUUUAAAUAAUAAUAGAAAUUCAUAUAUUUUUUAAGAAAAAUUAAAAAUCUAUUAUUUUAUAGUUAUUUUUAUAAAUUUAAAAUUUUUAAAUCAAAAUACUAAUUUAAAUAGAAAUAAUUUAUUAUUAUUAUUUUUAAAGUUGACAUAUUUUUAAAAAAUUAAAAAAAUUAAAGGGCCUCCCGGAGCACGGCUCGGCUCGACACGGCUCUUGACUUUCGGGCCAGAGGGCCAUGUUGGGCCGAGAGUUGGUUAGGUCUGGCCCGGCACAGCCCGGCCCCAAUUUGACGAUGGGCCGGGCAGGGCCGCCCCGUGGCCCGUUUCAGCCUGAGUAAUGUGGGCCGGUACAGCCUACAUUACACCUCUAGGCAUCGAUGUGCCUUGGGCCCUCGCAACACCUGCAUUCCAUCGUAAGGCUAACCCCAAUUACUGCCUUCUUGUUUUCCCAUUGCUUUGUAGUGGAACUGCACGUUCCAAGGUGUGGCCACGCCCGAAGUGGAUACAUCUUGAUCUCGACCAUAGGAAAUGCACAAGUAGGAUUCCAAGCCUUUGUGUUGUCUCAUGAGCAGCCAUCGGUCCAACCAAUUUAUCUGAUCCCCGCGGUGCUACUAAGUUAUUUUCAAUGAUGGGACUUUUGAAUUGAUGAUUGGUUCUGUUGUACAUGAUUUACCACUAUUGGAAAAUCUAAUAAUGUCGAAAUAUCGUGAAAUUUGGUUUCUAGAUAUUUCCAAUAGUGUAGAUUAAGUCUAACGAAGUGUAAAUUUAAGUCUAAUGGCGCUGAUUGUCGAUUUGAAAGCCGCAUCACCAAAAAAAAAUUGAUAGCGUGGAGGCUUCUAUGCUAUUGAUAGUAUACUACCGGGACUCUCUCUCUCUCUAUAUAUAUAUAUAGAGAGAUAGGUUAGUAUGUUUUCGAAAGCACAGGCCUCUAUGCUUUGAAACUGUUUUUGAUGAUAGGACUUUUGGAUCAACGAUCAGCUCCGUUAGACUUGAUCAAUAGUAUUUGAAAUUUUGAAGUACCUAAAAAUCAAAUUUCAUGAUUUCUUGAUACCAUUUGCCCAGUGAUCUAAGAGGCUCAAAAUCAAUAAUUUUAAUGGUCGAGGUUAGCCUUUUGCAAGUAUGACGGUGUAGAACUAUUGAAAUUAUGUGAAACUUUGAUAGAAAAUUUUUUAUUCUAUAUAAAACAAGAUCAAUAUUUUUGAUCCAAAAUUUUUAGGGUUAUAUCAUUGAUUUUUAGCCCUUUCAUUCACUAGGUAAUUCAUAUUGAAAAAUUGCGAUUUUUUUUCCAGAUACUUCAAAUACUCCAGAUCAAGUCUAAUAGUGCUGAUUGUUCGAUUGAAAGUUCCAUCAUUGAAAGCAACUUGAGAGCAUAGAGGUCUCUGUACUAUUGAAAGCGCACAAGUCGACCUAUACAUACAUAUAUAUAUAUAUAUAUAUAUAUGUAUGUAUGUAUGUAAUCCCGCUACUAUCCUCUUAAAAAGAUAGAAGCCCUCAUCCUAUGAAGUCAUUUUUGAUGAUCGAAACUUUAAAUUGGUAAUCCGCACCAUUGAAAUUGAUUAAGCUAAUUUUUGAAAAUCAUUAUCAAAUUCAUCGAAGACACUAUAUCUCAUGGAGAGCCGAGAAAAAUCGUAGUAUCCAAUUGGUAGACACUAUAUCUCACGGAGAGCCGAGUGAGAUCGUGCUAUCUAAUCGGUUGGCACUUUGGAGUCCAGGGUGAUCGUCUCCCCAAGUACCACAUAAGGAGUUGAGAGGAUCGACACUCCAAUGCAACGCGGGAGUCGAGGAUGAUCGGCCCUCCCAAUGCAUAUGAGGGAGUCAAGGGUGACCGACACUCUCCAAUGACACUUUCGGAAGGGUGAUCGACUUUCUCCAGUGACACUUUCGGAAGGUUGUAACAAACCAAUUGUUGCACCCUAAGUUCAUAUGACUUUUAGGGUUAGCAACCAUGUCCAAUACACACAGACUUGUUCUCUAGUUUACAUUUAACCUAGAGUUAACAUGUCACUCUGUUACAUUUUAGGUAUUGACCUAAGUUUAAAUGCCACUUGUUUAAUCUAUAUCCAAAGUUCUCAAUUUUCCAUAUGCAUUUCACAUAAUCUCUUUAAUAUACAAUGGUAGGAAACUCUAUGUCCUUAGUAUGCAACUAAAAUCACAUUUAGUUUAAUUAUUACCAAUAAUUCAUGCUAAUAAUCCAAAGAAACUAAGGACAAAAGGGAGAUCAAACUCUUUUCGGUGAUAUUUUCCACCUUUGUUUGUUCUUCCAAAAAGAGGUGACAUCUCUUGAAAAUGCUAGAAAAAAAACUCUAAAAAUGGUUCUAGUAAGGUUAGAACCCUAAAAAUCCCUAUUUGGGAAAACUCUAAAACCAAAGCCCUAAAUAUCCACUUACCUCUUCUCAUUUUGCAAGUCAAAAAUAGGAGAGAAGAGCCUAAUCUUUCUUCUAGAGCUUCCUCUUGAAGUUUUAGAUCUCCUUCAAGGUCCCAAAGAGAUUAACCCUAAGCUUCAACAAUGUGGGAGGUGGGUUUCUCCGUUCUUCUGGAGAGAGAAAGGGAAGAGAGAGAAAUGGGAAGGAGAGAAAAAGGGGCUGGGGUGUUAGGGUAAAUAGUGAAAGCCCUUUUAUAGGGUUGCUACAAUAGAAAUUAAGCCCCUAACUUCAUCUAUUUGCAAACAGACAUCACCUAGCCUGUGUGCUAGGUUUUAGGCUCUCGCUCGAUUUUUUGGGCGCCUGAUUCCAUCAUAGUUGCACCCGGCCGAGUGAUCGGGCGCCCAGUGGCUCCGUUUGCUUUACAAUUUGGAUGCCUGCAGGACAUUUCGGACGUCCGAGUGUUUAUUCUAUCGCACGACUAUUGCUCUCGGGAAGAAGAAUUGAAAGCCCAUUCAGGCGGCCACAAUGGGCCGUUUGAAAGUUCCUCCGGGUGCUCGCAGGACAUUUUGGGCGUCCGAUUAAUUAUCUAAUCUCUUGGGUUGGGAGUCCGAAACAUUUGUGGGCCCCCGCAAAUGAGAUCCGAAAUGACACAGGGCGCCCGCAGCACAAACAGGAUGCUCGAAAUCUGGAUUCCCGCAAAUUCACCUCUCUGGACAAGCGUCUGGAAAAUUCCGACACUACAAGGGACCUUGCGAAAUCUUUUUGGGGUACCCGAACCCCUAUUCUGGGCGCUUGAAUUGGUCUGGAACUCAGAUUUCUGAGUUUUGAUGUAUUGUUUCGGUCCGAAUUGAUUCUAAUUUGAUCCAAACUUGGUCUAAGCUUCUCAAAAUCUAUUUUAAUCUAGGCAUCAUGACACAGACAAAGGACACGGCGCGACUCGGACACGGCGACUUGCCAACUUCCAAGAAAUUAAGAUACGGACACGGCAUGGACACCGCUAAUAAAAUAUAAUAUUAUUAAUCUAAUAGUAUAUAUUUUAUUAUAUAUAAAGUAGUAAUUUUGUUAAAUUAUUGUUGUAUUUCUCAUACGAAUGAAAAUUAAUAAAAUUCUUAUUGAUAAUCUAUAUAUUUUAAGAAAAAAAAUUCUCCACCAUACAUAAUUUACUUAUAUUAUCCAUAAAAAUGAUAUGUAUUCAUCAAAAAGUUAAAAUAUUUGUCAUGUUUCAUUAUAUUUAUGCAUAAAAGAAGGUGAAAUAAAUUUUUUUUUUUUUUCAAUGAGAUGCUCCACAUCGAACGUGUAUUCAUUGCGUGUCUGCGUCGGACGCACGAGGCUUAUAGAAGUGUCCGUAAAACAUAGAUUUUUAAUCAUAUCUAGCAUGAUUUAAUUCGUACUUUGUCAAUUUGGUCAAAAUCCAGUACAUUACAGCCGCUCAGACAACUGGACAAGAACCUCCACUCUGCUGCCGACCUCAAACCUGACGUUGCGUGCAAGCUACUGUACCUCUCUCCUGCUGUACAGCCCGAGUGUCCAAAGAAGUUACCUGAGAAACCAGUGUUGAGGUAGUUGGGACAUUUUUCGAGUAUUAGCUGUAAUGCGCCUUAAAACUAUCGCGAUUGACUGACGCUCGCGUAGGAUUUGGAGUCCGAAGAAAUGGAGAGCUGGAGCUCUUUUUUUUUUCCCUUCGAGAAUGUCAUCAGGACAUUGAUGUAAAGCUUACAAGCUGCAUGGAGAGAUCAUUCUGUGCUAAAGAUUAGCAGCAAUGGUGGCAGGGCGACAAGAAAAAUGGCUGCAGCAGCCUUUGCAGUGCAACAGCUGCAGUAGCUUGCGCAACACUAGCAACAGCCGCAGCUGCAGCAGCUUUAGCAGUGGCCUCAAAGCAACCGCAAUAUCAUUGGCAGCAGCCACGGCAGCCUUAACAGUGGCAGCAGCAGCUGCCGCAGCUGCACUACAGCAGCAAUUGCAGCAGCUGGCACAGGAGCAAUCACAGCAGCAGCGGCAGCAGCAAGUGGCAGCAGCAGCGGCAGCAGCAAGUGGCAGCAGCAAGUGGCAGCAGCAGCGGCAGGAGCAUUAGCAACAACAGGUGCAGCAACAAUCAUAUUAAGUGGCGACAGCGGAUUGGGGCGUUGGCAGCGGAAGAGCAGCGGCGAGCCUCCUUAACUGAGGAUUACGGAUCAAGUAGAGGGAUCCGAAGAAAAGGAGGGACAUUGGUCCUACUCCCCUUUCCCUUUGAAGAUGUUGAUGCGAGGUCCAUCUGCUAGUUGGCUCUCAUGGGCAAAGCAGCAGUGGCGACCUAGGGAAAAUUGGCAAUGGUGCGUGCUGCAGCAGCAUUCAUUGAAGAUGGUAGUGAUGACGCAUGUUGUGUUGUGUGACAUUGGUAAGCACACUGAGUCAGUGUCACACCUCGGGAUUCUUUUAAAGAUCUAUUUUAGGAAAAGCCAGCUGAAAAUGUAUAAUUUUUUUUUUAAACACCUUUGAAGACACCCGCGGACGCACACAAACCCGCCACAUGGAAAAGGAUUCCCUGUACAAACGGACAGAAUCUUCCCUGUACAUGCACGCAUAGCACCUUUAUACAAAGUCAACCAUAUAGACAACCACACAACACAAAUAAAACUACAAUCUGAUGACAAUAACUGAUAAUCAAGACAGGUCAUGGAUGAAAUAUCACUGAACAUCUAAUAGGAAGAUAAUCACCAAGAACUAUCAGUCCACAUAAGAAUCAAUUAAACAAAUAAACUUAAACCACCAUCUUAACAUCAUAAAUUAUCAUAGGAUAAUGAAUGAACUAAUCGAGAGGUACUCCAACAGAAACUAGAAACUAAACUAAGUACAAGAAUGUGAAAAUCCACGAGGGACCAAUCCAGGACACAACUAUCUAGAACCAUCUCACGCCUCGUUCCGAUCCUCGCCUCCUGUGUCACUUGAAAAAUGUUGGGGGUCCCUCUCCCAGUGGGUACCGCAAGCCGACGAGGGCGAGCUGUAUUCACCGGCAAAUGGAAGAGAUAACCAUUAUAAUGAACAGAUAUUAUAAGUACAGUAGCAAUAAUACUGGAAUAGGAACAACUGUAAAGAGAAAUACAACUAGCCACUACUGUAGUGUAAAACAGAAUGCAACUAUCCAUCAACCAGACAGAUCUUCCAAAUAUAUCAAAUUCGCCGUGUUGGUCUAAAGACCUCAGGCAAUUGCAUGUCGUGCUCAAUUACCUGGCAUAUAACCCUAGCAAAGUAACCGCAUCGGGCUCACGGGUCGAAAAUACGACCAUUUUUUCGAAAAAGAAUACCCUCUUACGGUGGAUCAGACCGUUGGUGUACAUGAAAUGCACAUGAGUUGUAGCGAUCGAUGCAAUGUUCGAUGUAUGCCCUAGAAGCCAACCAGGCCGACACAUGUAUUCUUUUUAGGACAUAAAUUUGUAUUUGACUUUAAAAUAUUAUGAAUAAAUUUGGGUUCUUAUUUCCAUUCAUGUUGUGUAUGUGUCCAUAAAUCGUCCAAGGAAUUAAUAAGAUGAUGACAUAUAUUCUCAAGUGUUGAGAAUUUUAGACAUGUGUCAUUGGUGGUUAAUUCCUAAAUGCUCCCGAUCAAUGGAUCAUCACGGGGACGGUGAUUGAUCCAGUGAGAUUGGUGCAUAGGUCGCUUCCCUUUUGGGUAGACGAGUCUCGAGUCGACAGUGUGGGGACACUGAAGCGAAUAUGCAGGUGGUUGUUAGAGAACAAGGGUACCGAGCGUGACCAACGCGAGAAGUCACUUGGAUGUCUACUCACUCGUCAGUGACUUACUCAAUUGUUGCAGUAGUGUGACUGGUCCUUUGACCUGCGGUGCCUCGGCUAUUCACAAUGAGGUUACUGUAGUUUGACUGUACAUACACUUGGUCCCUAGCCAUUCGGGUCCUUGCGGUGCAUGUUGGCUGCAGUAGGUUCAUUGUAGGAAUAGGGUGCGCACUUAGAUGGAAUCUAUCUCCCUUGGUAGAUAGGGGUGUUAGUCCUAUGUGAUUUAUGAGACCGAGUUUAGAAGACCUUGGCCAGGGCAGAGUUAAUAGCGGAAAAAGGUUUCCGUUAUUAAAAACUUGGGUCGAAUAAAUUUAACAUAUGACAGACGAUGGGGUUUGACGAGUUAUUCCAUAACCUCCGUCUAGUCGGGACUCAUGAUAGAAGGAUUGUAUCACACGGUAACUGCACCAAGAGGUUCAGUAUUCCAUUCUACUGGAAUGCCACAACAUGCUGCUAGGCGUCACUGGUGGAUUGUGAGACUCAUGAAGAUUAUCUAGAUGAUUGAUAAUUCUUAUUAGGCUGAGUUGGAAUUGUUCUGAUCCACUGAAAGGAGUUUCAGUGAUAUUGUUGAUAGUGAUCAAAAUAUAUCUCACUACCAGAUAGAAUAAACCUAUGGGGUCACACAUAUAAGAGGUUGUGAUUGAUCGGAUAGCUAGAUUGCGAUUAAUGAAUUGUCGGAAGACCUAAUUGUCAAUAUGUUGAUAAUUGGACUAAUUUGUAAUUGUUACAAAUUAGUGGUAUUAAGGUGUAAAUGUUACAAGAGAUGACUUACUAAUAGUUAGUAAAUUAUAAGAGAAUUUAUGUGCAAAUGUUGCAUUAUUAAUUUGAUAUGAUCAAAUUAAGAUAAAGUUCAAGUCGAAUCAAAUUAGGAUUUGAUCGAUCUAACCAAUUAAGGAAAGGAUAAAUUUAAAUUUAGAUUUGUACUUAUCUUUAAUUGUCACUAUAUUAUUAAAAAGAUGAUUAUAUUCCUCUAUAUAAUAUUCGGGAGUUUUUAGAAAACUCUAGCCGUCAUCUUUCCUCUCUUCUCUCUCCCAUCUUCUAGCAAAAAGACGUCCUUUGCAAGGGAGCUAGCACCCCGGUGAGGUCAUCGAUCAAAUCAUCAACCUCGUGUGGAUACCUAUAGAGGCCGGACGUGUGUGCGGCUUCAAGAGAACCCAAUUCCACGAUCAUCAAAUUGAGGUGAAGAUCUAUCCGCGCAAAAGGUAAAGAUUCGAUCUUGUUUUUCUCCUUUAAUCUUAAAUAACAUGAGGGAUCUUAAUUGCGUGAUUUUUGAGAUUGGAUCUCGAGAGUUUUUCAAAAUCAAAUUUGUUUGAUUUCUUUUUCCGCUGUAUUUUUACCGUACGCAAUUUUCUAACAUGCAAUAUACUCAAUAGCCAACUGUUGGCAAAUAGCCGAAAGAGAGUCCACAAGGAGUCAUCGACCAAUCCGGUCAACUUCUAUCUCAAAGUGAGAAUAAUCUCACGUAGUAGAUAACUAAUGUCGUGGAUGUAUCACAAGGAAUGUCAUCGGCCAUAAGGCUAACUAAUGUCAUGGAAUAUAUCACAAGGAGUGGCACCGACCAUAAGGUCAACUAAUGUCAUGGAAUAUAUCACGAGUGUCACCGACCAUAAGUUCAACUAAUGUCAUGGAAUAAAUCACAAGGAGUGUCACCGACCAUAAUGUCAACUAAUGUCAUGGAAUGUAUCACAAGGAGUGUCACUGACCAUAAGGCCAACUUAUGGAAUGUAUCACGAGGAGUGUCACCGAUCAUAAGGCCAACUAAUGUCAUUGAAUAUAUCACAAGGAGUGUCACCGAUCAUAAGGCCAACUAAUGUCAUGGAAUAUAUCACAAGGAGUGUCACUGAUUAUAAGGUUAACUAAUCUCAUGGAAUAUAUCACAAGGAGUGUCACCAACCAUAAGGUCAAUUAAUGUCAUAUCAUAGCUAACUCGAUCACAAAAGAACACCGUUCUACAAUUGAAUCAUGAUAAUACAAAAUAAAAGCAAGUAUAAAGCAAAUAGCUACGAAGUAAAAUGGUGUACGAAAGCUCAACACAUAUCACAUAAACAAAAGGAGAUGGUAGGAAAAGAAAUCACUGAGCAAGCACCACUUUACCAACUUCGAAUUGAAGCACCCACCUCUACCGUAGAAUAAAGUGAGGUUGUCUACCCACCACUGAUGCCUUUCGCUACAAUCUAGACCUAUGCUAAGUCCCAUUUGGAACCAUUAUUAGUCCAAACCUGCUAAUUACAAAAGCCUAUGAUUCUAUGUGAAUCCAAGUAGGCGAACAAUUAGGUUUCUGGAUCUCAUUUAACGGUCACCGAAAGAUCACCCAAUUGUCUCACCGACUCGUCGGAAUGUCACCCCAACUGACGGGGUGUCCAGAAACGAGCUUCAACAUAUCCUACCUCGUCCGCUGUCCCAACACAUCAUUUUAAUGCUGUUAGGGCACCUGCAUAAGUAGUGCGCCAAUACAGGAAACCGAGACCCCAAAAAUCACCUGUUCGGCUCCUGAAAUCCCCAAUUCGGUACCCAAACCACCCGCAGCCCUUUUGCUGUAGCCAGAGAUGUCAAACCUCAUCCUAAAACCCGCCAAUAAGACUUCUAUCUUUCUGCGAACAGCAACUACCCGCGCGACAUGAAACCGCGCUUGAAACCGCCCGAUUUUCGCAUGUUGGGGUCCGGAUUAGCCCCAAAGUGUAUCGAAAUACUCCCAAAGUCAUUCAACCGUCUAUGUCUUCCCAAAAUGCUCACUUUUGGGUGUCGGGAUAGCCGCACGCCAGGUGGUGUGAUCCGGGUGCGAAAUCUCCAAAAUCCACCGUUCCAGAUUCCAAAAAAUCGCCAUUUUAGACUUCGAAACCCAUGAACGAUCUAUCGCUGGUCCGGGUUAUCCACCAGCAAGUCUCCUACCAGCCCACGGGGCUUCCCAACCACUGUGACUUGUAGCGGAAUUCGCUUCAUGAAGAUGAAGCCAAAAUCACCUAUUUAACAUGCGUUACCUACUGUUUUGCAUGCUGAUCAUCGUGAAGCCCUAGUUGGGGGGUUUUCGGGCCUUGAACAUCAAGUUCGAACCAUUCACGCCUGAACCCACGUUGUUCGGGAUUGCCACGAUGCAAAAGCAUCAAUGUGGCAUUUCGUGGAACACCCGGCAUGCGAAAAUUAAUAUAGUAAACCAAUAUUCCAAGUUUUACCGUUGAUUUUGAGACUUUGAGUCCAAGCAAAGAUACCUUCCGAAAGGUUUCGAUGUUGUGGAUAUCGUGCUUGCUGUUCGGAGCAAAUCCGAGCAUUGUGGAAGAAGAUAGAGCAAUCAAUCUGUUGACCCAAAGUGUCCGCAGGGACGACGUUCUAAAUAUAGCAAACGGAGGUUCCUCGACAGCAACUAGGGUGAGCGCAUGGCGCUUUAUAGACCCUCCAGAUGACCAUGCUCCUCCGCAGCAAAAUCCAUGGUGUCCAGAUCUGCCAGAUCCACAACGUCGGCAAAAUAGAACCCCCAGCCUGAGCCCGUAAUAGAGCAGCAAAACGGCCUUGAUUUCCCCCAGCCUUUCACGGCCUGGGGCGGUCGGCUCCGGCCCUAAGGUGUCGGCCCGACGGGAGGGGAGCCCCGUGGUGCAGCGUUUGGCCACGGAAAGGCGCAGUGGCCGAGAUUUGAAGCCGCGGCCCGGGGCAACACCCAUUUCAAAAUCGGCUUUAGCCCGAGCUUGGUCGGGGCGGGGGCUGCAGAGCGACGUCGUCGGAAAUCAGGUGGUCCGCUGCGGUGAUUGCCCGUGGCGCGGCGCAGCAGAGCAGAGGGCUUGGGUUGGGUUUAUCUAACCCGAGAGAGAGAGAGAGAGAGAGAGAGAGAGAGAAGGCCUUCACAAUGACUUGUCGCCGGCCGGGGAGGCUACAAGCAGCGGGGCAGGGGUGCGGCGUGGUGUCUGUGAGGAGGGCAAUCAGAUCUAGGGUUUUGAGGUCCCAAUACAUAUAUAUUUAUAUGUAUACAUACAUCUAAACAUAUAUACAUAUAUACAUUUAUAUAUAUUUAUAAGGUAAAAUGCAAUAUAGCACCCCCUAGAAUUUAACAUUUUACCCCGUAGUCCUCACAAGUACUUGCGUUUCACGCAUUAGUCCUUCCGCACACCACUUUUGUGUGAUUUGGUACAUGAAUUAGCGGGUUCCAUACCGAAUUACCCCUCGACUCACAAAACUAUGGGAAAACUUCAAAUACCCCCUUGUGGUUUCAUUUUUUCUCACUUUAGUACCCUAUGGUUUAAAGUGUAUCAAGUUAGUACCUUGUGGUUUCGCGCUUUCUCACUUUAGUACCCUGUGGUUUAAAGUGUAUCAAGUUAGUACCCUGUGGUUUCGUACUUUCUCAUUUUAGUACCUUGUGGUUUAAUAUUUCAUUAAAAAGAAAAAUAAAACCUCAGGGUACUAACUUGAUACAAAAAUAAAACCACAGAGUACUAACUUGAUACACUUUAAACCACAGGGUACUAAAGUGAGAAAGUGCGAAACCACAGGGUACUAACUUGAUACACUUUAAACUACAGGGUACUAAAAUGAAAAAGUGCGAAACCACAGGGGGGUUUUUGAAGUUUUCCCCAAAACUAUCUCACAACUUCCACAUAGUGCCAUUUUACACAUAAAUCCCCUGACUUCACUAAAUUUAAUUUGCAGAUUCCCCUCUGAAUUGACAUUCACAUAGAUCCUUCCACUCACCAAAACGUAGCAGUUUUUCACAUGAAAUAAUAGCCUCUUCGUGAAGUGUCCCAUUUUCACAAGUUGUUAAAUUUGUAAUUUAAUCCUCCAACCUUUCUUACCGAAAACUCACCAGUGCGUGUAUUUCGCGUAAUAGCACCUUCCCCUAGAGUUUCACGCAAUUCGGCAUGUAAUAUGUUUUGUCUUUUCUACAAAAAUCCAAUUUCUCUAAAAUGACCACUUUGCGAUUUUCGCUUUAUAAAGUGCUUUCAACUCGCAGAAACGAACUUCACCAGAACCUCCGGCAAUGCUGGACCAUCAAAGUGGUGACCUCGUUUCUUCAGACACGGUUCCAGUUUGCUAAAAUACUAUAUCCUCUUAUCAGAUCCCCUAUUUGAAUUUAGGAAACCGAAUCAAUAUUUAAAUUUUAAAUUUGAAAUAUUAAUUUCCCGAAUUCGAAAUUUCGGUUUCCUACAGUCAGCACACGUGGGAAGAUCAGCAAUGGCACACGCACUCGGACUAGAUCCUUAUAACUUUAAUAUUGCUUAGACAGAAUUUGCAUGAAUUCGUAUUUCAUCCUCAUCUUCUAAAAUUUGCUGAUUUGGAAGCCUCUCUUUCUUAUCCUUAUCCUGUUUAAAUUUAUAAUUUGAUUUAGCUUUGUCCGCUUGAUCCAAGUUGAUUAGAUGAACUACACCCAACAAGUAUGUCUCUCAAGUUCCUAGCAUUUAGGAAUGUCUUGUCAAUAAAGAUUCUAUGAACGAUUCAUUUAAAUAAUUUGCACUGCUAACAAUAAAUACGAAUAAAACUUUCCCUUUAUAAAAAUACAAAAUGGCCUAAGCCACCAAUUGGUUUUAGGGUAUAUGACUAACAAUUGGUCAUUGACUAACAAUUGGUCAUAGACUCGUACUAUUGUUAUAUCGCGCUCUAUUUCACUUCUUUAGACCACUGUAAGCUUGUAACUUGUUGGCUUCCUUAGGUAAUCAGCACAAUACAGGAUACAUUAUGGUGGUAACAAUAGCAUGUAACCAUAGUCACAUUGGUCUUAUGGCUUAAGAUUGUAUUCGCCUCCAAGAACUAUCUUUAUUUGAGGCUUUUGAAAACUCUGGAAAGUGCGACGGAAACAUAGAGGUCUUAUUUGAACAAUCUCAUGCAUUAACAACUGUGCUCUAUAAAACUUCCUUUUCGUAACUUUAAUCUCAAUGCAUAUCUUUUGAAUAUAAUGCCUUUUUCAGAUAGGAGAACCGGUUCCUUGUUGAUUGAGUUAUUUUAGAUAUGAUAUGAUCUCAAGCAUGUUAAAAAUCCUUAUUCAUGAACAUAAAUUUAUUACAGAUCUUUUAUUUACUGUAUUGCCUCGUUAUCUCUAAAGAAACUUUCUCAUUCUUCAGCUUGCAUUUCUCAAUUCACAAGCUAAGUUGAAAGCUGAGAUUUCAAACAUACAACAAAAUAUUGCACAAAAAGAUGUGGAACUCCGUGCUGCUGAGGAGGAACUUAUCGGAUUAAAAGAGGUAUGCCACACCCUUGUCAAUUUUCGAGAUGUUACAUACACUCAGAUGUCUUCCUAUUAUCCAAAAUAGGAGAGGCCCAUGGACUAGGGUUAUAUUGAUGAUAAUAUAUAGUGUACAAAUCAACCUAUUAUAGUAAUAUUACAACCAGAGAUAUCAUGUAGUCCUACACUAUAUAAGACAACAAAUAAUACAAUACUAAAUAUAUCCUAAUAUAUCUUAACAGCCCAACUUGACCAGAUUGUGUUGAGAGGGUGGAGUCUCUUUGCUCCGUGGAAUUUAUGACUGAUGUUUGUCGGCUCAUUUCGUUUUGGUGACGUCAAACCGAAAUUGGGGUGUGAGACCAAUUUAAAUGGAAACAUUACAAUUUCAUUUGCACUGGAUCUAAAGGUGUGGAAAGUGUAUUCAGAUCGGCCAAAACUAGGUUAUGGGGCCUUACGUUAUACACCUAUGUAUCACGGACACUUCUAUAAGCUUCGCUUGUCCGUGUCGGACACGUGCGUCUGCGUUCGCGUCAUGAACGCACGUUCGAUGCGGCGGAUCUCAUUGAAUAUAUAUAUAUAUAUAUAUAUAUAUAUAUAUAUAUAUAUUUAUACAUAUAUAAUGAAAGAUAAUAAAUAUUUUAACUUUUUGAUGAAUGCAUAUCAUUUUUUUGUUUAAUAUAAGUGAAUUAUGUAUGAUGGAGAAUUUUUUUCUUAAAAUAUAUGAGCUAUCAAUAAGAAUUUUAUGAAUUUUCAUUUGUAUGAAAAAUAUAACAAUGUUUUAACAAAAUUAAUACUUUAUAUAUAAUAAAAUAUAUACUAUUAUAUUAACUAGUGUAGAGACCCGUGUGAUGUGGCAGGUAAGAAUAUUUUAGUAAAAAUUUACGGAUUUAAUAAACAAAUAAAAAAAAUGUAAACUAUUUAAUAAUAUGAAAAAUACAGAAAAAUUAAAAUAAAACAACUAAUAAAAACCAAUAAACGAAAAAUAAGAAAUAGAUAAAAAAAAUAUAUAUACACUAAAAGAUAUUUAGAAGGUGUGAAAAGUAUAAACAAAUUAAUAAAAGAUAGACUCGAAGAGGAUUCAAUCUUAACUAAUCAUAUAAAAAGUUUAUCUGUUCAUUCAUGCUUUUUCUAACCCAAAUCAGAUUCUCUUAAACGCUACAUAUAUUGCUCAUUUACUCUAUGAUCAUUAAAAUUGCCAUGCCAUUAUAUAGAAUUAGACAAAUGUAAAAAAUUUGAAGGAAAAGUAGUAAUAAAAUAUGACAUUUAUAUAAAUAAUUAAAAGUAAUAAAUAUUAUUUAACUACCAAAUUGUAAAGACCGCGAAUUUCAUACAUCCAUGAGGCCACAGAACCAACCUAUACAUUAUAUUCUAAUUCUGAUCAUGCAACAGGACAAUUAUAGUAUUUUUGAUAAGUUACUAUUUGUCAAUCUAUUAACCUCAAUAACUAUUUAUAACAUAGUAUAUAAUAAGAAAAAAAAUAAGAUAAUUGUUUUUUCCUUUAUACCAUUUAUUAUAAGAUACGACCGGCUCCGUAGAAAUUAGAAAUUAAUAAGCAAAGAAGUCUAAAAAGAGAAACGAUUUUACGGAAAAAAACAACAUGCACACAAUGAAGACGAAUAUUGGAUGAAGUAGCAUUUACAUGGGGGGAAAGCGAAAAGGCAAAAUUUACGGGAAAAGAUGAGAAACACAUCUUAGAUGGGGGAAGCCGAAAGGCAUACGAAGUUAUUUGUGAAGCAAACAGACACAUCUGUGUAGGAAGCGUAAUGAAGCAAAGUGAUGAAAAUUAGAAAUCGAGAAAGGAGAGACUUUUUGAGUGAUGGUCCCAUGACAAAACUAAGGAGAGCAGCUCGUAGACAAUUUAAGAAGGGCAAAGAGCAUAACCCUGAGUUGUAUUAACAGAAAUAUAAUUACAAGAGAUGUCUAACCCUAAAGUAAUCAAUGACUAUUAUACUAAAAGUAUAAACUAAGAUUCACAUACUAUAUAUCCACUCUAUAAGACAGCAAUAAUACCAAGUAUCCUAUAUAGUAUAAAAUAUAUCGUAUACAUCCCCGCGCAAGCUAAAGCAUCUGUGUCAGGGAAUGUGCUCGGGAAAGCUUGAUAACGGCAGCGAAAAGCUUUAUGUUUGUCAGACCGCCCAUCUAAAUAGUCAAAGACGAGGUCGAUUUACAAAAAAAAGCAGUUUUAAUUCGCCUCAGCCCAAAAACGAGGGAAGCAAGCCAGCUUGAAACAAUAGACAUUAAUAAGUGUUAGAUAAAUUGCCUAUGUUUUGCUUCCACAAGCCAUUUUGUGAGAAGUGUAAGGACAAAAAUCGGUGAAUAAUUCCUAUUUGUGUGACAUAAAAACGAGAAAUAUAUCUUACAAUAUCCGAUACCAUUGCUCAAUUGAAAAAUUUUAUUGAGCUGUGAAAUUAUUUUCAACCAUCUUCUGAACCCUCUGAGAAUUUGUCAAAAAACUCACAUGUUUAAAUUUUAAAGACUAAAGCAGGAAAAUCUAGAAUAAAUCGUCGAUAAACAUAACAUAAUAUUAUCGAGAACACUGCAGGUGCACAGGUGAUUGCCAACCAUACAGAAAACAAUAUCAAAAGAAAAGCAGCGAACUGAAUUCCAAUCAUGAAAUGAAUUGUUAACAUGUUUUCCCAUAUACAAUAUUGCAGAUAGCUAAUUUCCAUUAGAAUCAGAAACAUAUUAUUGUUUUAAUAAAUAUGAGAAAGAACAGAAACUAGAUGAGGCCUACGCGUCACUGCAGACAUCUCCACUAAACCUAGAUGCAACAAGAGCUAGUUGUUGCUUAUUCCCUACACUUGCAAGUUUAGAAGAAAUUGGAUAAAGUGAUGUUCUCGAGCUAGGACAUCGAAGAAGCUCCUUCCCUGUUUCCUUGUCCUUCACAGAAAAACCAGUAGAGUCAAAUUCAAAAAGAGAAUUAUUAUCUUGACAGAAUUUACGCACUGAAAGUAAAUUUCUCUUAAUAGCAGGAACAACAAGAAUAUUUUUAAGAGCAAAAGAGUUAGAAGAUGUAUUCAAUUGAGUUUCACCUGUCUGAGUAAUAUCAAGUAAAUUUUCAUUACCAACAAGAAUUUUUUCGUGCCCACUAUAAGGUUUAGAAGAGAGAAUACCAGAGUUUGCGGUCAUAUGAUUUGAUGCUCCGGAAUCCGGAUACCAGACCUCAUCGGGUUCGUGAAGGUUCAUAGCAGCAAAGAUCUUAGGAACUUCAUCAACAGCGAAAGAAUGAUUGAAGCGUUGUCUGCAUUGAAGAGCAGAAUGAUUGAACUUUCCACAUAUUUGACAUUGUAUGCCAGACUUCGGAAUAUACGGUUGUUGAUUUGGAAUGUAAGAUUGUUGAGGAUAAUUGGGUUGAGACUGUGGGCAGAUUCCAGGAGAUCCACGACCAGAGUAGUGUCUACCAUACUGUCCUCGGCCUCCACGAUAUCUGCCUCCACGGCCUCCACGAUUACCGCGUCCACGAUUGGCAUAAAGAGCUUCACCGUCAAUAGUGGGAAUAGUAGAGGACGUAGUCACACUAGUACGACGCUGGACUUCCGUUUCUUCUUGCAUCAAAAGUGGACGAAGUUGUUCAAAAGUUGGCUUAUUUCUGUGUGUGUUUAGAGCACUAACAGAACCUCGAUAUUCCUCUGGUAGCCCUAGAAGAAUAGUCAUGACCAAAUUAUGGUCUGACUCGAUUUCACCAAUCGCCUGAAGAGCAUUACCAAUUGUCUUGAUCUUUUGCAUGUAAUCACUCAUGCUUAUUGAGCCUUUCUUGAUGCUCCGCAAUUCAGACUUUAGAGAAAAAGCCGUGGAAGCAGUCAUAUUAAGAAAAUAUGCCUCAAUAAUUCUCCAAGCAUCAUAUGUAGUUUUAGGUGAGCUAGAAACAACCAUAUGUAAUAUGUUAAGAGAUAAAAUGGCAUUAAUCCAUGAAAGUAUAGUAGUAUCGUCCUUUUUCCAACUUACAUAUUCAAGAUUUAUAACCACCUUCUUAUCAGCAGUAUCAAUAGUCUGAGAAGGCACAACACUAGUUCCGUCCACAUGUGUUGUAACACCAAAACUUUCUAGAACAUUAAGAAAGACUUGUUUCCACACAAGAUAUGUGGAAUCGGUGAGUUCUAGUGGUAUGAGAGUUUUGAUGUUAACAAUUGACAAAUUUGAGGUAGAAGAAGACAUGUUUACCACCUUAAGAGAAAGAUCCACCACUAGAUAAGAAAGAAAGAUAAAUCGGAAUGUAGCGGAUGAGAAUAAAAAAGAACCUGAUUUCUACCACAUGAGAGAGGAACCACUUAUCACCAAAUAAGAUCGACCGCACCAAGGAAAGAACCGAGCGAUACGAGCAACCAACAAUAGGAUAGUCCGAGCGGCACCAGAGGAGCAAAGAGGAACCACAAAAUGGCCGAAAAUACUGUAGCAGAGGCACUAUAGCACUACUGGUACUGUAGCAAUGAUACUGCAGAACUACCGUUACUGUAGCGAUGGUACUGUAGUAGUACUGUAGUGAUAGUACUGUAGCGAUAGUACUGUAGCAGUACCAGGGAUAUAGAAAACCAAAAGAAAAGACACCUAUGAAAAAAGGUGAGACUUAUGGUGGAUGGUGGCUAUGGAUCGAUAUCCCCACAUUAGGGUUCCCGCUUUGAUACCAUGUAAGAAGGGUAAAAGAGCAUACCCUCUUGAGUUGUAUUAACGAAUAUAUAUAGUGCAAGAGAUUGUCUUACUAUAGUAACAAUGACUACUAUAGUAAGAGUAUAACUAGGAUUACAUACUAUAUAAUCCUACUCUAUAGAAGACAAUAAUACAAAGUAUCCUAAUCUAGAUAAAAUAUAUCGUAACAGAUAACAUUAUGAAAGUUAAUAAUGUUUUAUAGAUAAUAUUAUAUUUUAUUAGCGGUGUCCAUGCUGUGUUCGUAUCUUAAUUUUUUGAAAGUUGGCGACUAGUUGUGUCUGAGUCGUGUCGUGUCCUGUGUCCGUGUUCGUGACCUUGAUGUCUAGUUAUACAUUCACUAUGGUAUGUUUGUUUCGUUGAAAGUGGGAAGGGGUGAAGGGAUUUUUGGCCGUAAUGACCACUUUUGCUAUUUGGUUCACUGUAAUAUAACUAUUGUCGAAACUCAAGUUCCCUAAAACAAUAUUAUUGACUUCAGUACACCCUGGGUUGAAGUUAAUUACGGGGGAGAGAAAUGAGGGAAAAAAUUAAUAAAGUAUUACAAAGGGGAACUUAUUUUCGAGAAAAGGUUACCACCUGUCUUAUCUGUCACGCCCUGGGGUCCCUUUGAAGUUUAAGAAUCGAAGCGGAAGUGCCCAAAGUUUUUUUUUUUUGGAAACCUUGACCACAGGGGAUGCCAGACCCGCCACAAAUAUGGAUAACCUACUGUUCACACGGACAGAGUCUUCCCUAUAUUUGCACGGCGUCGCACGAGUACAAGAUACAACCAUAGACAUGCACAAACCAUAUAUACAUUCACCACGUCGCAAUAUCAUGAUUCACAUUCAAUCAAUCACAAGGUUACAAUAUUUCAUUCGUAAAUCCAUAUCUAUUAAUUUAAAACGUUUUCCAUCUGGAAACUCAUUUGAAAUACUAGAAUCAUGAAAAGCGAAAAAUUCUUUUUAAAACCGUUUCCCACAUGGAAACCUUUUCUUCAAAAACAUGCUACCACGAGGGGUAGAAAACCAUUUUCACAAACCAUAUAAUAACCAUGAAACAACUUUAUUUAAUAUCACCAAGCCGAUAUAUCUAAUUAAAGUAAAAGUAAACUGAACCAUAAAAGUCUAAGGCAUUUAUUUAUGGAAAGAAGGUAGAGUCUAAACCGAAUGUCACCGGGCUGGAAAUUCUAUCGACCGCUAAGUAUGCUCCUCACGCCUCGUCUCGACUCGAACCAUUAGUAUCACCUGAAAUCGGGGGGUGGGGGUGAGAAACCAACGAGGGUGUCCCAGUGGGUACUGCAAGCCGACGAAGGCGAGCGUACUCACUGGUUACCAAAGAUAUCUAUGAACAAUAAUACAGUAGCAAUGUCAAUAGAAAAACAGGAUAUAGAAUGCAACUACCGCUACUGUAUAUGAAUGCAUCAAUCGGACGAUCAAUCCCAAAAUACCUAAUCCAGAAACCGCCAUGUCGGUCCAAAGACCUCAGGCCUGUGCCACUAUUGCUCUAAUCUACAGAUAACCCUAACAUAAGCUCCUGGGCUCACGGGCUGGCACUCCCAACCACUUUUUCGAAAAAAUACACGGUUGCGGUGGCCAAACCGCUGGUGUACGAGACAUGCGUACGAGCAGUGGCGAUCAAUGCAAUGUGAUCAAUAGCCGUUGGCAAGUAGCCAACCAUCAAACCCCUCAGGGUAUAUCGACUGAAUAGGUCACAACCGUUGUCACAAAUCUCAGAUAUAACAAAUCAUUCGCUCUACUUCUAGAUCAUGAUAUCAAAUACGGAAACAACCAAGUAGAGCAACAAGUAGAGAAGUCAUGGGUGCUAGGCUGACAAAUAUAGCAUGCAAUGAGUAUAAAGAGAGAGUGGAGGGAACAUUGCUGAGCGUGCACCAUUAGAUGCUCGGCACCAUUAGACCGACUUCGGAUUGAAGUACCUACCUGUAUCAAUAUCGCGCCUGUCUCCUGACUGUGCAAGAUCGUCAAUCGGACCUACGGAGGGCCCACCGGGUCAGUGUCUAACCCACAGAUUCAAUAUACUAACUCACAACCCCACACGUAAAUCCCCACGGAAAUCGGUUUCCCAAAGGCGAUAACCGUAACUCUAGGGGUGGAAACGAGCCGAGCUCGAGCGAGCUUAUGUCAGCUCAAAUUCGGCUUGAAAUUAAUUUCGAGCCUAAACCUAGGCUCAAGCUCGGCUUGAAAUUAAUUCGAGCCGAGCUCGAGCGAGCCUAAUUUCGAGUUGAGCCGAGCUCGAGCUCUAACCGAGCCGAUUGAAAUUCUCGACAUUAUAUAAUCAAUAGUUUAAUUUUUAUAGAAUAUUACCUACAAUUUGAUGCAACAUGUCCAAUAGUUAAAAAUACAAAAUAAUUGGAAGAAAUGUGAGCUAGGGUGACUGCCUGACCUGGUGAGAGUUUGUGAGAGAGAGAGAGAGAGAGAGAGAGAGAGAGNNNNNNNNNNNNNNNNNNNNNNNNNNNNNNNNNNNNNNNNNNNNNNNNNNNNNNNNNNNNNNNNNNNNNNNNNNNNNNNNNNNNNNNNNNNNNNNNNNNNNNNNNNNNNNNNNNNNNNNNNNNNNNNNNNNNNNNNNNNNNNNNNNNNNNNNNNNNNNNNNNNNNNNNNNNNNNNNNNNNNNNNNNNNNNNNNNNNNNNNNNNNNNNNNNNNNNNNNNNNNNNNNNNNNNNNNNNNNNNNNNNNNNNNNNNNNNNNNNNNNNNNNNNNNNNNNNNNNNNNNNNNNNNNNNNNNNNNNNNNNNNNNNNNNNNNNNNNNNNNNNNNNNNNNNNNNNNNNNNNNNNNNNNNNNNNNNNNNNNNNNNNNNNNNNNNNNNNNNNNNNNNNNGACCACUAUCAUCCUAACCGCACAUCUUUUCAUCCAACGGCCGAAAACUCAAUAGUACCAAGGGCUCGGUACUAUUGAUAGUAUAGUAGCAUAAUUCUAUAUAUAUAUAUAUAUAUUCGAGCUUUUCGAGCUUUUCGAGCCUAAUUCGAACGAGCCGAGUAAUACUCAAGCUCAGCUUGAAAUGAAUUUCGAGCCUUUUAUUUUGUUCAAGCUCGGCUCAUUUAAUUUCUAGUCGAGCUCGAGCAAGCCGAAUAUCGAGCCGAACACGAGUCGAACGUGAGCCGGCUCGCUCGUUUGCCAGCCCUACGUAACUCGCCGGAAGUCCCGAAAAUCUCACUAGGACUCCGUCGGGACCCACGAAGUGUCCCGGCAGUCACCGACUCGUGCCACGAGUCACCCGCUGCCACCAAACACAUCGUUUUGGAUGUCUUAGCAGCAAACACAAGAUCUCACAUCGAAACAAUUAUCGUCGGAUAACCGUUUCGAUCCGGGUUUCCGAAAGUGUCGUUUUCGACACCAGAACCCACCGUCGCUCACCCGUAGUCUCCGAACCCCCGAAACAACGUAAGUGACCAGCCAAACAGGCUUAGCGACAAAGUAUAGUAUACUCGAACAUCGUCGGGAUGAAUCCGAACCGAAAUCGCGUUUCGUUGGCGAAUUUUGCCGAAAAACGCACCGAAAAUCGAUAUUCGAUUUCCGCAAAGGCCUCGGACCUUGAACAAUCAGUCUAGAGGUGACCUACUACCCACAUGUACUUCCCAAAGCAGCCAUAAGAUGCACAAUUGCGUAAAACUCCCAACAACUACAUAAAAGUGCAUCAUUUUAUGUAGAUAAUGCGGUUUUGUGGUCCGCUACAGCAAGCUGAGGGCUUUCGAGGUCAGCCGAGGCAUGUCCUGACAGGUCUCGGCAUGCCGGAGGCCGUGCUCACGGUCAGCUCACUGUCGGAGGCGUGGGAGCGACCCAAAAUUCAGCGAACUGUGCGCACUUGGGGAAAACCGCGCUGAAUACGAAGAUUCGGAGUCCGCUGAUCAAAAGCGAGGUGAGCACUAUGAUUAGCACUGACCAGCGAUCACCGUGCUCAUUUUCGGAGGCAUCGAAACAACCUCGGAUUGCCGAAACAGUGUAGCCAACCCAGAAAUACACAAAACUGGGUUAAAAAGCUUAUCGGGCAAGGGGGAGCUAGGGUACGGCCGGUGGCGGCUCGGCGGCGGGCGCGCCAUUGGCAGGCGGGUGCGGCCGACAUGGGAAGGUUGCCACUCACUCUAGCCGGCGGCGGGAGGCAGCGGUGCAGUACUGGAGGCACCCAAGCUUGUACGGGCUGAGCUCGGGCUCAGGGUUCCACGUCGGCCUCUGCGGCGGUCGAUGUUCCUCAGGGCGGCAGCGAGGGGUCGGCGGAGGUUGGAGAGUGGUCGAUGGGGCAGCCUCGGGCGGCGGCGCUGGGGGAAGAGCCGCGGUGCUACCUUGGCCUGGACCAACUUGGUUGGCCGUAGGGCUGCUGCAGCCGUGACGGGGGAGCUUGGGAGUGGCAGCAACCGGCGAGGGAGGUCGCUGGGAAUCCGAGGUGCUGCCAGAGAGGGGUUUUGGCGGUGGGUCGCGCGCGAGGCAGGGGAGAGGUGUGAGGUGGCUGGUUCAGUGAGGGUGGCAAGGGCUAGGGUUAGGUUCACCCAUUGAAACCCUAGAGGCCUUUUUAUAAUGCCAUGCAUAACUGCAUAUAAGUUCCGCCGAAACUCAGUAUUUUAAGUGGAGUCUCCGGGUAACAAGCGCUAACAACGCGAUAUACCGAUGUACCCCACGUCGAUUUUACGCGAUCAGGUAACUAAAGUAUAGGACUUUUUUGCGAAAGUUCCGUUUUGCCACUUUCGACCCUUCCCGAACAUCAUGCGAAUUUAAGAAAAUUCGUCCGUGAUUUGGCAAAACGGACUGCGUAGCGCUCCAGCACAGUUGAAACAUCGAAACUACAAUUUUGUUUCGCCCCCAUAGAUUUUGUUCGCGAUUGCAGCGACAAAACUGUCUUUCUCCUUUCCACCAAAGCCACACACACACACCACACACACACAAUUAUAUAUAUAUAUAUUAUAUAUACUAUUAUAUAUAUAUAUAAUAAUAUUAUUACUAUAUAUAUAGAGCUAGGUACUAUACUAUCUGUAGCACGGAGCGCUCCGUGCUACCAAGUUGUUUUCGAUGAUGCGGCUUCCAAAUCGACGAUCGGUUCUGUUAACUUGAUCUACACUAUUAAAAGUAUUUAGAAACUAAAUUUUAUAAUUUUUGAUACAAUUACCUAUCAAACAGUAGUCUAAAAUUAAACGGCUGAAAUAAAUCUCAUAAAAUGAUGAUAAAGAUUUUAAUUCAAGAUUAGAUAUACUGAUUUAUUCUAAAUAGUGAAAAGAUUUUCUAUAAAAAUUUUCAUCGAGAUUUGGAUUGUGUUUACCGUUUAAUCUUCAAAACACACCACAUCGGCCAUUAAAUAUCUCAAUUUUGAGAUCUUUUGAUCAAUAGUCAAAUGAUGUCGGAAAUCUGAAAUUUAGUUUCAAUACUUUCAAUAUGGUAGAUCGAGUCUAACGAGGCGAUCGUCGAUUUGAAGCGCGGAUCAUCGAAAACAACUUGGUAGCACGGAGCCUCCGUGCUAUGAUAGUUAGUAGCCGGACUCUCUCUCCUUUCUCCUCUCGUCCCCCUCUCGCUCUCUUCUCCUCUCAAUAAUUAUAUACAUAUAGUAUAUAUAUCUUUAGGAGCACGAAGGGCUCUGUGCUCCUGAGAGCACAUAAGAUCUACUCUAUAUAUAUAUAUAGUAGGUCUUUUGUGCUAUUAGGAGCACGGAGGCCUCCGUGCUCCUAAGUUGUUUUCGAUGAUGGAGUUUCCAAAUCGACGAUCAACUCCGUUGGACUUGAUUUAGCGUAUUUGAACUAUCUAGAAAAUAAAUUUUGCGAUUUUUCGACAUCAUUUACAUGCCGAUCGAAAGGGUUCAAAAUCAACGGCUGAAAAUAAAAUCUCACAAAAAGUGGUGAUAUAGUAUUAAAAUUUUCGAUCAGAGAUAUUGAUCUUACUGUAAAUAGUAUAAAGAAUUUUCUAUCAAAAUUUUAUCUAAUUUGAAAACUUCUACACCGUUAAACUUGCAAACGCUAUACAUCAACCAUUAAAAAUGAUUAAUUUUGAACCCUUUCGAUCGGUAGGUAAAUGAUACCAAAAAAUCGCAAAAUUUAUUUUCUAGAUAGUUCAAAUACGCAAGAUCAAGUCUAACGGAGCCGUUUGCCGAUUUGGAAACUCCAUCAUCAAAAACGGCUUAGAAGCACGGAGGCCUCCGUGCUCCUAAUAGCACACAAGAUCUACUCUAUAUAUAUAUCAAUUUGAUUUCAAAUUCAAAUUUAACAUUCGAAUUUCCUUUAUUUAGAAUCUCAGAUAUUACAUUAUCAUACAUCUUAAUAUAUUUGAUUGUUGUACUAAUUUCUCUUUUAUUUAGUUUGCAUGUUUGAAAAGUAAUAAAAAUUGAUUAGUUAAGCUUUAGUAUUUUUCUUGCUGAGUUUGCAUAUUUGAAAUAUGAUGAAAAUUGAUUUGUUGUGUAUUAAUAUUUGUUUUUUUUUUUUAAGAUUUUAUUGUUGUGUUGUUAUAAUUUAUGUACAUAAGAGUUAAUUUAGUUGUUUUAGAUUAAAAUUUUUAAUUAUAUAGGGAUACAGUUGAUUAUUUUUCUAAUUAUUUUUAUUAUAUUAUCAAGUUAUAUAAGAGAAUAAUUUUUUUGUAAGUACGAGUGUAUAGGAGAUUAGUUUAAUAUUGGUGUAGAGUUUCAAUAGUUUUCGGUUAAACAAACAUAUGAAGUGGGGAAUUUCAGUUUUUACGCUAAUGACUGUCUUCCAAACUAAUAGCAGAACCGGGAAAACUUCACUUCUAUAGUUAUAGAAACAAAUAGUGGAGAAGUAAUUUACAUAUGACCGAAAGUUUACUUCAACUUGAACUUCACCUUCAAUGAAGCAAGCCAACCCCAACUUCACCUUCAGUGAAGCAAGCCAACCCCAACUUCUCAUGUUAUUUACUUAUUAUAUUUUACUCUUGGUGAGAUGACAAUAUGGAAGUUAGUUUUUUCCUCCAUAAAAGUAACUUAGAAUGACACCUAAAUGCAUCAAACUUCCAAGAAAUAGGUUUUGUUAUGACUUUUCAGUUCUUUAUAUAUAUAUUUUGAUCUAUUUGAAAAGUUUGAAGACUUGAAAACCAAAAUUCUGGAACUGAAACUGGAAAUAACUAAUUCUCUAAAAUUGUUGUCAUGCCACGAACCAAAGGCAUAACAACAUAUCUGCAAUUAAUUUGUUACAGCUAUGCUGGAGUACGAAACAAAUGAUGUCCAAUUUAAACUGCUCAAAAAUCCAAAAUCUAUAAUUUUUGACUGACUAAACUGAUCAUUUUCUAAUCAGAACAUGCAAAAUUUUGAAAUAUGAUAAAUCAAUGUUCAUUCUAAUUUCAACAGUCUAAUUAGUUUUGUACACAUAGGCUGAAUGGUGCGCUUUACCUAUAAUGUUCUCUCGUCCUUAUCCCUCACAAGUUGAUUAUAUUGCAUAUGGAUAAGCAACCAUACAUUACAUUGGUUGGAUUAAGCAUGCGAUAAUAUCUAAAUAAUUAGAGAUUAAUUUGUAAUCAGAAAGUACAAUAAUAGUGUCGCCCCCCGGGGUCCCUUUGAAGUUUAAGAAUCAAAGCGGAAGAACAAUAAUAGGGGCACAGCAGACCGCAGGCGGAGUGUAAGGAAGUGAAUUCUCGAAAUCCGAGAGUUAGACUUCGUCCAGGAUCGACUAAUUGUCGAAUGGGUAGGCUUCGGAGAAGCUAAAGAUGUCCAAAACACAAAAAGUGCUGUGGAGUCGAGUCCGCGAGAGCAAAAAAUGCAAAAAUCUGCAUUUGGCAGAUCCUGCUCUCGGGGACCGGUCCCUGGCAGGGAAGGACCGGUCCCCGUAGUUGGUGGUUGCGGGGAUGCGUGAUGCAACCGGUCCCCAGGGCUGAGGAACCGGUCCCCGUAGGUGAAACCAGCGAGCAGAGGAAAAUUUGGCUAAGUUCUGAGAAUCCCACUUUCGGGAACCGGUCUCUUAGGCAAGGACCGGUUUCCCAGGGACCGGUCUCUCGGGCACGGACCGGUUCCCGUACGCGAGAAUUGGAGAAAUGCUCUCGGGGACCGGUCCUCCCGACCAAGGACCGGUCCCUCCGCGCGAAAUUUGCCCAGGCAGCCUGGGCUGAGAGAAAUAAAGUGGAGGUACUUUUAUGCAAAAUGCCAUUGGGUUUUGAGCUUUGGAAAUGAGGUCAAAUGGACCUCUGGCACCAUUAAUGGUGGAUCAAAGCUAGAGGCUAGGGUUUCAUGGUGCUUUACCUAAUGCUAACCCUAGGGCUCCAAAUGGGGGCUUUUUGGAAAUUUAUGAGAUUGAUCUCAUGUGAGGGCAUCUAAACCUAAUUGCUAGGUGUCCAAACGCGGGGGCGAAGGCGGAUUAAGCAUUCAUCAAGCCGGUGAAAAGUUAUCGGCAAAACAAGGCUGACCAAGCUUAGUUUCGACCUAGGAGGCCGAGACAUCGUCGUAACGUUCGUUGGGAGGCGUUUCUAGAACCUCUACAUCGACAAAGGUGGGGGGUGUCCAUCCCGAAGCAACUGGGCUUCUCCCUAUGUGUCACGCCCCGCGACCGCUACCAAUUUGGUUCGGCCCGGGCGCGUCGAACAGACGCCGGACGGACAGCACCUCCCCUGUCUGCCCAAGGCUAACAACGAGAUUGUGUACAACAAGUUUCCAGGAAAAUAACUUGAAUACAUACACAAUCGAUAACUGCAACGAGAGCACAAUCAGUGCAAAACGACCAAGAGCAAGAUACAAGUAUAGAACAUACAAGUAAUGAUAAAGAGAGAGCAUCUAUCUAUUACAUUCACUCAGCCUUUUAUAAUACAAUUUGAUUAUACAUUGAACUUCCGAAACAUAAUAAAAGCUUACAUCUUCCAAAAUAUAAACAUUAGUUUACAUUCAUCCCAAAAUACCUCACAUCCUAUACAUCAUCUACUCUCAAAGCAUAAAAGGUGACUCUAAUGCAGAAAUAGGAAAGUAGACUAAUGCAACUANUUUCAUCAUCUUUUCAUCCACGCUAAUGCCGGAUUUAGCUCACGGCCCAACAUAGCCUUUCGGGUUUCGUUUCCGCGCCUACGCGCACCAAAUCGCCCGAAUGCUCCCGAACUUCACCGAACUUCACCGGAACCUUUCAAAUGGUCUUCCAACCAAAUGUACACCGUAACUUCAUGAUUUUAGAAGUCCGGUACCUUACACUAUGUCUAAGUAUCUUUAUGUGAUUACAUUUCAUAUAUAGCAUCAUGCAUGGUAGGGUGUUUAGAUGUUACCUUACUACUCUUGCAUAUUCCUUGGUAAUGCGUCAUAGUGGGCUUGGCAUGUAAACUUAGGAAUGCAUGAGAUUGAGCUCUGUGACAUAGAACCCUAUAGAGAUAAGUUAAACCAUAACUUGAUCUUGCAUGGAUGCGUAUAGCGAUAUAUGACUAGCAUAGUCGGGGUAACUGCAUUACGGCAAGUGACAUGUAUACCAAGUAAAUAACUUGACGAGUGGCAUAUGUACACCAAGUAAACAACUUGACGAGUGGCAUUAGAAUUUAGUGUUAGAGAACACUUGUGGCAUGGUAGUUCUAGUGACUAGAUCUCCUCAUUUGAUGAGGAAUGGAUUUGGAUUAUACUCACACGUCUGUUCAGCGUUUGUGGCGGUCACUCCGCACAAGUAGUGCGCUCCGGAGUUUGGCACGUGAAUCGAUUGGGAUAGCCUAGGUGGGGUCCCAAGGGAUAGCCUACGUGGGGUCUCGCAGACAAUUCCUCGGGUAGUUCGAGUCCCCCUUCAUAGACGGAUUUGAGAUGUGAGUUGAGGGCGUGCCUAUGGGCCAGCCAGAUAAUUGGGUAACAAACUCGAGAGUGUUAUGCAAAUUGGGCAUAUUGGGCAUAUUGUGCAUAUUGAGUAUGGUAGAGUCGUAUUCAUACUCGAUGUUGGUAUUAUAGCAUGUUAGCGAAUGCAUGGCUAUUUUGUUCAUUCUUGAAUUUCAAGGCAUAGUAGAAUAUUGCAUUUCCUUCAAUAUGUAUUAUUUACAGUUUUGGAUAUCUAUCUAUCUAUCUGCUUAUACCUGCUUAAACCUAAUGGGAAGAUCGGCGGAGUUGGCGGCUGAACCCACUGGGAACUAUGGAAGAUAGUUCUCACCCCACUUCAUUCUAGGGCUGAGUGCGGGCGUGCCGGGCGAGGAUCGCGGCAAAGGCAUUGCGCCCGAGCAGUAGCUUAGCGGCUUCCAUUUUGCAUUAGAGUACCCUCGAGUACCUAGAGUUAUGAUGUAUUUAUACUUGGGAGUUGCUUAUGUAUUUUGGAGGAACAUGUGUAUAUUCAUUUUGCAAGUUACAAAAUGUAGACUUGAUGUAAAAGAAUGGUUGAAUGGAUGUAAUAGAUAGACAUAUCUCUCUUUAUUUACUUGUAUGGCAUACUUGUAUCUUGCUCUUACUUGUUAGCACUAGUUGUGCUCCGUGCUUAUCAUGUAUGUAAUUGAAUUAUUCCCGGGCAAUUCUAUGUACAUGAUUCUGUUGUCGAGCCUUGGGCGGGGCAGGGGAGGUGCUGUUCGUCCGGCGUCUGUUUGACGCGCCUGAACCGAACCAAAUUGGUAGCGGGCUCGGGGCGUGACACGGAGGAACCGAAGAGGGAGGGAGUGUUGUAUAGCCUGGAGGAUUCGGACGCCCAUUUGUUGGUUUCAGGCGCCCGAAAGUGCUCGUUCCUGCAGGACAGCAUGUUAGCAUCUCUUAUUCCUGGGGCUCAUUAUACCUAUUCACCUCUUUAUAAAAGCUUGAGAUCGACCCCCUGAAAAGCUUUUUCACCCUUCUUCACAGAGAAGCCCAUAUUUUGCAUUUUAGCCCCUCUAAAUUCUCCAAUUUGCACAUUUUCACCUUAAGGACUGCAAUUCUAGCAGAAUUCCAGCAGCGAUCUUCGACGCUUGGGCUCGUGUGCGACGUAGGAAGAUCGGAUUGCUGCGAAACUUGGUUUGGCGGUUAGCUAACUUCUUGGAGAUUUCGUGAGGCCAAUUUGAUAGCAAUUGAUUGAGAUUUGUUUGGUCAAAUUGGUGUUCUUCUGAGCUGCUGGUGUUUUUGAGCUGAAAUUGAGAUUUUCUUGGUUUUUUUGAUUCAAUCUUUGGAGGAAGCUGGAUUUCCUACCCGAGGAUGUUGUUCCAUCAUACUAUACUGGUUUUGAGACUUUUCUUCAACUGAAUUGUGGAUUGGAAGGUGAGUUUGACAUUGUAAUUGGAAGGAUUUAAGCUUAAUUACUGAAAUUGAGGGCAUUGAUGCAACCUUGGUGUUUUUGUGUUUAGAUCUUUAGAGAGGGGUCUUUGCUGAUUCGUGGGUGCCCUUGGCUGAGCUUCUUUCAGCGGUUUUUCAGCCUUUGCCGGACUCGCACUAGAGGUGGGUUGAUGUUAAGCUAUCGGAAAUUUCUGAUUUCCUCCUAAGUCUAGAUGUUGUCAGCAUGUGUUUUUUUUGUAGCUUCAUAUAUCAUGUUAGUAGCUCGAUUCGUAGAUUUGCAUUGUUAUUAAAUGAAAUCUGAAUUGGAGCUUGAUAUGUUAGUUUUAUUAUACAUUUUGGACUUGGAUUUGACUUAGGAGAAAACUAUCGAUUCUACACUGUCAUUUUCUGAAACUACCAGAUUUAGUUUAAGGAGUCGUAGUUUGUUGUAUCACCAUAGUUUGUGGGCGGUGGAUACCCAGAAUAGUGUAGAAUGAAAUUACGCUCGUGCUGGGAUGCCGAGUAAUUUUUACAGUAGUGUAUAGACUGUUCCGGACUGUCGGGUGCCGUUGCGGUUGACGGUGGAUCCAGAUUGCUGUUUUUGCAUCAGAUUGUGCUGAGGGCACGUAGAUUAUGAUUGUUAGACCAGUUUGACACUUUGAUAGUGACUACAGCCUGUGAGAGCCUUAAUGAACUUGGCAGAGAUACUUGUAAACUCGGUUGGGUCGCGCCUACGAAUGCCAUUCCGGAAUGAGGUUUCAGUGCGAUGAGGUCGGAGUUUCUGUUUAGACAGUUUUUGAGCCAGCCACCGCCUGUGGGUGGUGUACGGCGUAGCUGGAUACAGGCAGGGUGGGUUCGAUUGGGCAGCCCGGGUGAGAUAGUUAGUGACGCCUUUCUCUAACGUCAGUGAGGUUGUGACGUCAGUGGAGUCACUACCGUCCUAUCGAACCUUGGUACUUGGACCGACUACUCUUAAAAUACGGUGUAGCCUAGUUAGGCGGGACGGGUGUAUUCAUAGUCCCUAGAGAGUUUUCUCUACCGGCUAUUCUUGAGCUACGGUGUAGCUUAGUUGGGCGGGACGGGUGUAUUCAGUCCCUAGAGAGUUUUCUCCACCGGCUACUCUUAGGGGUGGUAUACGGGUUCGUUUCGACAGGCGGGACGGGUGUGCUCACAGUUUCUAGUGAGAUUGGGUCAGGACUUGCAUUUUCUACAGAUAGUGUUGGAUCACAAUAGUAUAGUGGCAUAUAGCUGUAGAAUUGUUCCAGCUUCCUUUAUUAUUUUUGAGCAUACUUCUGUAGACAUAGUGGGUGAGCCGUUGAGGUCGGUAGCGGUACCCACUGAGGACUACUUUUUAUAGUAGUUCUCACACCCAGUUGGUGGACUCUUUUUGCAGAGCCUUCUUCUUCGGCUGCUGCUGUUGCGGAUAUAGACCGUGGAAAGAGAGUCGCGAGUUAGAUCCCUUCCAGUGUUGCUGCUGAUCUAGAGAUAUACCCGCUACAGGUAGUGUUAGUUUUGGUUCUUGUACAUACUAAUGUUAGAUCCUUGCUGGAGCGAGUGCUUUUGUAUCAGGAUACUAUCUAUGUAUGUUGAACCGAUGGUGUUAUAUGUAUUUCUUUUUAUCAGCUCUAUGCUACUGAUUGUAGUAUUGUAUGAUUACAGGUACAUGUACAGCUAUCGCUUCGUAUACAGGAGAAAUUCCUUUGUAUACGGCUGGUCUGUUAGCGUGCCCGGGAAAACGAGUAAUCCAGGGCAUGAUAAGUAACUGCCAUGUCGGCCCGCAGACCUCAGGCCUGUGCCACUAUCGUUCUAACCUGCAUAUAACCCUGGCAUAAGCUCCUGGGCUCUUGGGCUCACGGGCUGGCGCUCUCAACCACUUUUUCGGAAAAGUACACGAUUGCGGUGGCCAAUCAGCUGGUGUACGUGAAAUGCGUACAAGCAGUGCUGAUCGAUGCUGAUAUGCUUAAUAGCCAACCGUCGGCAACUAGUUGACAAUCCUACCCCUCAGGGUAUGCCGACCGUAUAGGUCAUUAAGUACAAGAGUCACGAACCGACCGAAUAGGUCACCACUGAUAUCUCUACAUCUAGAUCAUGAUGAUAAGUACGGAAAGUAACGAAGUAGAGUAAUAAGUAAGAAGUUAAAGGGUGCUAGACUCAUAACAUGAUAUGCAAGGUAAUAAGGAGAGGGUGGAGAGAACGUCACCGAGAGUGCACCACUGUACCGACUUCGGAUCGAAAUACCUACCUGUAUGAAUAUCGCGCCUAUCUUCCGACCGUGGAAGAUCGUCAACCGGAGCUACGGAGGGUCCACCGGGUUAGUAUCUAACCCACAUAUAAGGAACGCUAAACCCACAACCCACAAAUAAUUCUACGGGGUUUGGUUUCCCAAAAUCGAUUACUGUAACUCGUCGGGAGUCCAGAAAAUCGAACUGGGACUCCGCCGGGACCCACGAAGUGUCCCGGGACUCACCGACUCUCGCUAUGAGUCACUCGCUGCCACAAAACACCAUAAUAAAGGUGUCUUGGCAGCAAACAUGAAGACUCAUAUUGAAACCAUUAUCGUCCGAUAACCAUUCCGAUCCGGGUUCCCGAAAGUGUCGUUUUCGACCCAGGAACCCACUGUCGCUCACCCGUCGUCUCCGAACCCCCGAAACGAUGUAAGUGACUAGCCAACCAGGCUCAGCGACAAAGUAAAGAAUACUCGGACAUUGUCCCGAAAUCGAUAUUCGAUUUCCACAAAGGCGUCGGACUUUGGACAAUCAGUCAAGAGAUCAUCCGCCACCCUCACGCACUGCCCACAGCAGCCACGAAGUGUACAAUUGCAUAAAAGCCCUUACUAAUACAUAAAAUCACAUUAUUUUAUGUAAUUUUCGGGGUUUUACGGUUCGAUAAUGCAAACCGAGGGCUUUUGAGGUCAGCCAAAACACGUGCUGAUAGGUCUCGACAUGUCGGAGGCCGUGCUCACGGUCCAGAGCACAGAGGCUCACUGUGGAGAGCGUGGGAGCGACCCGAAGUUCAGCAAACUAUGCGCACUGAACUUAAAUCGCGCUUAUUCCACAAACCAGGGGCUCGGUGACCCUAAUGGAGAUGAGCACGAUGAUCAGCACUGAUCAAGGACCAUCGUGCUCACUUCCGGAGGCAUCGGGGUGGCCUUGGAUUACCGGAACAGUGCUCGCAACACAAAACUUUGCAAAAAUAGCACUUAAUUGGCUUACCGGGCAGGAGGGAGCUAGGGCAUGGCCGACGGCUGCUUGGCGGUGGGCGUGCCGGCGGCAGGUGGGUGUGGCCGGUGGGGGGGGAGGCCGAGGCUCGCGUUGGCCGGUGGCGGGAGGCGGUGGCGUCAACGGCGACGGAGCAACCCAAGCCUGCACGGGCUCGGUUCGGGUUCAAAAGUUCAAAGCGGCCUCGGCGGCGGUCGGGGAGCUACGAGGCGGCGAUAAUAGGUCGUCGGAGGUUAGAGGAGGGCGGCCAAGGUAGCCCCGAGCGGCGGCAGCGUGAGGGAAAGGAGCUGGGGUAUCCUCGGCCCGAGCUUGCCCUAGGUGGCCGCAGACUGCUAGGGGUGGCCGCAGGCUGCCAGGGGCGACGUGCGGCGACUGGCGGGGGAGGUCACUGAGGGUCGGGGGCACAGCAAGAGGAGGAGCUCGAGGAUGAGGGGCCUUUUUGGUUGUGCUCGGACAAAGAUAGAGAGAGGUUGUGGUGGAGAAGAUGGAGAGGAAGGUGAAGUGUAAUGACCUGAUCCGCUAGCAAUAAUAACUCGUUGGGCCAAAACCACCGGCCUAAAAUGCUUAAGCUCAGUUGUUAUGUCUAGCCCAAUCAAGCUUAUAUACUCCCCCAUCUAGUCAUAACUACGCGAUGUGGGACUAUUGGAGUGUCACAGACUCUCCCCGUUUAGGCCCUAACUUUCUCGUCAACCCUAAACACACACACACAGCCCAAGAUCAUCAGGCGAUGUGAGACUUGUCUCGUUGACCUUUGUCAUUUCGACCAUAACUUUGCUUGUCAAUCACCGAACCUGACUUAGUCUGUCAUUCCGACCUUGGCUCAGCCAAGACUCAUCUCACACUUCCGGCUGGUGAACUGGCUCUGAUACCAAGUGUAACGACCCGACCCGCUAGCAAUAAUAACUCGUUGGGCCAAAACCAUCGGCCCAAAAUGCUUAAGCCCAGUUAUUAUAUCAAGCCCAAUCAAGCUUAUAUACUCCUAUAUCUAGUCAUAACUAUCCGAUGUGGAACUAUUGGAGUGUCACAUAAAAAUGGUGCAGUUGGCGGUUGGCCGGUGGCGGGUAUAACGACCAAGCCCACUAGCAAUAAUAACUCGUUAGGCCCAAACACUGGCCCAAAAUGCUUAAGCCCAGUUAUUUUUACUAGUGUCUAAGUCUUUUAUAUACUCAAUCACAUCCCCAUUCCUAUCCGAUGUGGAUUAUUGGGGUGUGACAGACUCCCCCCGUUAAGGCCCUGACGUUCUCGUCAGUCCAAUCACACACACAGCCCAAGAUUACCAGGUGAUGUGAGACUCGUCUUGCUAACCUUGUCAUCCAGACCCUGGCAUAGCCGGUCAUCUUGUCAUUCAGACUCCGGCAUAGCCUAUCACCUUGUCUUUCAGACCUUGGCUCAGCCGAGACUCACCACAUAUUUCCUGUUGGUGAACUAGCUCUGAUAUCAAAUAUAACGACCCAGCCCACUAGCAACAAUAACUCGUUGGGCCCAAACACCAGCCCAAAUGCUUAAAUCCAGUUAUAAUUAUUAGUGUCUAAGUCUCUUAUAUAUCCAAUCACAUCCCCAUUCCUAUCUGAUGUGGGAUUAUUGGGGUGUGACAAUUGGGGUGUGACAGCCGGGGAGUGCGCUGUGCACGCGGGUGAGGAAGGAGGGGCAGCUGGGGGUUAGCUGAAGCUAGGGUUAGGGUUUUCCUCCAUGAAAACCCUAGUUAGCUAAUAUAUACAAGGUGGUAUACUUGCAAAUAAGCCCACCAAAGAUUAGUAUUUUUAGACGAGUCCCUCACAGUGCGAGUAAAUCGCGUGGAUGUACCUCCACGUUUGAAAUCAUGCAAAACGGUACAUGAAAUAUAAGGGGGUUUUGCGAAUUUUCCGUUUUGCCACUUUCGACCCCUUCUCGAUCCUCACGCAAUAUCAGGAGAUCUGUUCGUCAGAUUUGCGAACGGAUUGCGCCAGCGCGUUCAGCACGUCCGAGGCAUCGCCAUCACUAUUUUAUUUCGCUCGAUUUGGUCGCCGAUUUGCGACGAAACCCAUCCCCUUUGAAAUCCACAUAUAUAUCCUUAUAUACACACACACACACACACACACACAUAUAUAUAUAUAGAGUAGGGCUACUAUACUCUUAUGAGUAUAGAGCUCUUUGUACUCAUAAGUUAUUUUCGAUGUUGGGGUUUUCGAAUCGACGAUCCACACCGUUAAACAUGAUCUAGAGUAUUUGAAACUUCUAGAAAAUAAAUUUCGUAAUUUUUCGAAAUUAUUAUAAAGUCCAUUAAGCGGGUAUAAAAUGAACGGUUAAAAUCGAACGACAUCCUAAAAAUGGAUGAUCGGAUCCUUUAAUUUAAGAUCGGAGUUAUUGAUCUUUAUUUAGGUAGUGAAUAGAAUUUUCUAUCAAAAAUUCAACCUAUUCCAAUUAUUUUACACCGUUAAACUAGCAAAUAUCGCAUACCGGCCGUUAAAAAUUGUCAAUUUUGUGAGCUUUUGAUCGUAAGGUAAAUGAUAUUGAAAAAUUAUAAAAUUUGAUUUCUAGAAGUUUUAAAUACUCUAGAUAAUGUUUAACGGUAUGGAUCGUCGAUUCGGAAGCUCUAUCAUAAAAAACAACUUAUGAGUACGAAGGCGAUCGUUCUCAUAAGAGUAUAGUAGCCGGACUCUAUAUAUAUAUAUAUAUAUAUAUAUAUAUAUAGAAUCCGGCUGUGAUACUAUCAAUAGCACGAAGUAUUUGGUGCUAUCAAAGUUUUCUGCCGUUAGAUAUACCUUUUUAUCAUUUUCAUUCGUUCGAUUAUACUAUUCAACAAACCACUCACUCAACUCUAGGGGGUCCACAUCAUCCUAUCCGCACAUCUUUUAAUCCAACGGCAAAAAACUUAAUAGCACCAAGUCAUUGGUGUUAUUAAUAGUAUUUCAGCCUAGUUCUAUAUAUAUAUAUAUAUAUCAAAUUAUAUAUCAAUUUCAAAAUUCAAAUUUGAAUUUCUUUUAUUCAAAAUCUCAGAUGUUACAAACAGUGACUGGGUUUUACUCCAAAGCUUAAUGUCAGAAAUUGAGUUUUGAAUAAAACUUAUUUUACAAACAGAACUGAGAAAUAGAAUGCUGACUAAAAUAUAUUUAUUCUAAAAAACUGGAAUUUCAGUAAGAUUGUUUGUGGGAACUAAUUAUAUGAAUGAUCUGUUGGUAAUGUCUGAAACACAUAUGAAAGGCACCUGAAUCUGUGAACAUAGAGCAAAGGCACUUGAAGGUCUGUCAAAAUAGCACACAAAGGUGCAUCAAAAUAGCUCUUGAAGGCGCAUAAAAAUAGCACUAGGAGGCACAUAACAAAAUCGUGUCUUAUUUCUAUCACAAAAUUCAUGUUGACAUGGACGACAAAAGUUAUAUGAUUUUACAAAUACAUUUUAGUCAUUAGUAGAGCAAAAGUGGUUUUUGUUUUUUUUUUUUUUUUCCUGAAACCACUCAAUAGUCAGAGUGAAAUCUUUAAAAUCCUUCUCUUUGAAUAAUUCAUAAUUCAUAUAGGCAUGCUUAAUCCUUACUUUUGAGAAAACUAUAUCAAACUAAUGGAACAUAAUUUGAUCAACAGCCUAUAUGGAUUUGACAACAAAUGUGAUCAACAACAUACAAUAUAAUUAUUCUCCGAAGAAUUCAACAAGAGUAGAGAUGGAAUAAUCAAUUUCUUGGGAUUUAAAGAAGAGUUGAUGGAGGCCAAAAGAGAAAGAUAAGGCAGCUACUGAAGCAAAACGAUGUGGAAGGGGGAUUUACAUGAUGGAGAGUUAAUACAAAAAUAUUGAAAUUUGGGUUAAAAAUAUCUAAAAAUUUGCUAAUAAAUCAAUAAAGAGCAAAAUCAUCAUUUUUGUGCAAAAACUGGUAACGUACUAAAAAUUUGCAAUAAUUUUUUUCAUUUGGUAUCGGAUUCGUUGGGAAGCUUAUUCCAUAUAGAAUCCAAUGAGCAUAUAUUUGAAUGCUAAAUAAUCACAUUUAUUUUCUUCAGAGUAAGGAUUAAAGUGUCGUAGCAUGGAAGCGUGCCGGUUGUCGCCUAGCACGGUAUGGCAUAGGCACGCCUCUGUUUCGACACGUGGCACGCUUGCGUGCCGAUGGAUACGCAUAUCCUCCUAGUUGCACGCUUUGGUAUGAUUUUUUUGUUCCCAAUAAACUCUUAUAACCCUAUUUUGAAAUAUUUAGAAAAAUAAUUAUAAAUAUUAGCUAUGUAUAGCUUACUACACUGAGCAAUUAAUAUAAUAGUAGCUAUUUUAUGUAUGUAAAGUAAAAUAUAAAUAUAGUUCAUAGAGAAUAAAAUAAAAAAUUGAGUAACUUUGAAAAUUUUUUUAUUUUACCUUUUUUGAGAAAUUUAAAAAUUACAAAAUACAAAAUUAGAGAAAAAUUUUUUUCUUAAAGUUUUUAUGGAAUUUGUAAGAUUCAAUAAUAUUGAUUCGAUGAGAGACCGAAUGAUGACUAGAUUAACUAGAGUAGCACUACAAUUGCUCAAAUAAUUUCUUUUAAUUUUGAAUCUAUUAAAAAUAUUUAUUAAAAUUUUGAAAAGAAUUUAUUUUUUAGUAAAAUUUUUAAGAAAAAUUGUGAAAUCUAUCCAUAAAAGUUUAAUAAUAAAUCAUAUGAUGAACAAUUAAGCAAAUUCAAAUAUCAAUUGCUUCAAUUAUUUUUUUAUUUUAUUAGUAUUUUCCAUCUUCUAAAUCCAAAAACAGAAUUCUCAAAGAUAAAAAAAUUUUGUCGUAAAUCUCAUACGCAAUGCUAGAUUUAUCAAAAAUAAUUAAAAAUUGGACUACAUAAUAACUUAAUGAAGUAGAUAUUUUUUAAAAAAAUUUUGUAAACUAUAAAUAAAAAUUUGCAUAAUUUUAAAUUUUUUUCCAAACAGGAACUUUACAAGUUAGAAAUAUUCAAAAUGUAUGAACUAAUUUUAAAAUUUAAAAUUUUAUUUAUCUAAAAAGUACAUCUUCGACUUGCUAUUUCUUUGCCUUUUCUCUUAAGAUCGAAGUGAUCAAAGUAGAAAUAAAGUAGAAAUAGAAGGAAUUGGAGGAAGAAAUUAGAGAAACAAUUAUAAUAAGAAAAUGGAGGAAAAAUAGAAAGAAAAAAAAAAAGAAGAGGAAGAGAUUAUGAGAAGAAAAGAAAAGACUAAAAGAGCGAGUUGAGGGGAAGAAAAGGUAGAACAGAGAGAGAGAGAGAGAGAGAGAGGGAUCCGUGUAGGGCAAAAUAAAGAAAUCCAAAAGUAGGUACAAAGCGAAAAAAAGAGGUUAAAACUUAAAAAGCUGUGUGCCCAUAGAGGCACACAGCGGUGCUGUGCUGCGAUGCCCCUUGGGUAUUGUGUUGUCUCGCACAAUAUCCUUUGGGUAUCGCGGCAUGGUGGUUCUAAGAAAGAACCCCCCCACCCCUCUCCCCGUGUAUCGUGCCCCUUAAUUGGUGGCACGAUACAUAUCGCUCCGUGCCGACCGGCAUGGUGGAUACUUUAAACCUUGCUUUAGAGUAUCAAAACUUCUCAGCAUUACUCUAAUCCAACUAGGAUAAAACACAAGUAGGAUUAUUAAAACAGAUAGGAUCAAGAUAGGAAAAUCUUAAAUCCAUAAUUCUAGUAGAUCAAAUCUGAUAAAUUUCCUUGCCAAAAUUUCAACUCAAAAUCAAAUUCGUUCCCACAUAUGGAAUCCCGAUUAUUUAUGAAUCUUAAUCAAAAUUAAUAUUGCACCAAAUAUGUAAGCUUAUCAAAAUUCAAAAUAAAAAUCUGCCUCAUCGAUCAUUAACUAAAUAUCAAUAUAAUAAAAUAAUAGUAGAUCAUGGGUUGGGGUACUGCAACUUUUGAAACCAAAACUCUGGGAAUAUGUGCUUUGAGUAGGGUAUAGUUAAAUUAAAGCCCAGAAAUAGAAACUUCAUCUGACUAUUGAUAUUUACAUAUGUUUGACAUUUUCCCUUCUACUUUUGUUAUCGAUAUCACAUUAUUGUUCUAGUUCCCUUCUGUCCUCUCGAACAUGAUUCAUAGCCAACCUGAUGCUCUCUUUAGGAUCACUCGAGUCAAUCAUGAACCAAUGUUAAUUUGUCAAUUCAUAUAUUCUGAGAUUGUAACUUAAUCCUUCCUAAGUUUCCUUUUAUACCUCCAAAAUUUUUUAGCAAAUUUCAUUUCUUUCAAUUUUUCUCAGCCAAUCACAAUUUCCCGGGAUAAAGUUUGUUUAAUUACACCACCAUCAUCUCAUCACAACUGCAACUAUAAUGUCAGUAGCAUUCUGCUACUGCCUUCUUAUCUAGUUCAACAUCCUCCCGACCUUUGACUAUCAUAUUUUCUGUUCAUAAUCAACAAAUGUUUCUUCUUUGUUCAGUUUCUCUUCUCUUACCCUUUGUUUGGACGUUGGAAUAAGUUAUCAUUGGAUAACUUAUUCGGUAGAGGAUUUUCUUAUGAAAUUGGAAGCAAAGGAGUUUGUUAUCUCUUAUUCUUUAAAAAUAGCUUGAAGGUGGACUAUGGUAUUCCAUCCCAGACAUUUGAUUGCACUCUUCAUAUACCAAAUAUUAAAAGCUUUUUGAGUAAAUCAAAGAAAUAUCCUGGAUAAGGUGUUCUUGCAUCACGUAUUGUUGAACCUUGAACAGAAUCCAACAGGAUUUAUGGUUUAAACAUAUAGAUUUUGAUCACUAGUAAUACGUUGUGUCUCUCCAGGCUUUGGUUUUUGUUAAGACAUUGUUGGAAGCAACAUAAAUCUGACCCAUUCCACCCCUACCUUUGUAAAACAACUGUUUGUCCUACAAGCAAGCUUAAGCUGCCAGGGAACAUUGGUGUUUUAAUAUUUCAUAUUUAACGACUUUAACCACUAUGAUAUUGGACUGGCUUUGUUUAGGCUUUACCAAUGCUGUGGAUGUAAUGUUUCUGCAUCAGGGCAAAUCUUUUCCAAGAUGCAUAAGUAUGCAAUGAUUGAAGAGUUGUAAGAAGAUUAUGGAGGUUGUGAUGCCGAAUGUUUCAAAUAUGAAUCUCAUGUCACCCACCAUAUGAGAGCUCCAAAUUGAAUUAGUCAUUAGAAAUACACAUGCUCAAUAGUGGGUUUUCAUUUUCUGUUUUCCUGUCCUUGUUUUCAACUAUUGUCAUGUUUCAGUAUGAAGUCCAAUACAGUAAUAUGACUAUUGUUUUGAGGUGCUUCUCUUUGUGCAGGUUCAAAUUGAUUACUGGGCAAAUGGUGAAGUGGUAGAGAUAGCUGGUAGCUUUAAUGGAUGGCAACAUCGGAUCAAAAUGGAUUUGGAUCCAUCAUCACAGUCAACAAAUCCAUCUGUAUCCAGGUCUUUAAUUUAUAUUUUCUCUAGUUGGUUUUGCUUAGUGUAUGUGUACUAUAUAUAUAUAUAUAUAUGUAUAGAGUCCAGCUACUAUACUCGUAUGAGUACGAUCGCCCUUGUACUCAUAAGUCGUUUAUGAUGAUAGAGCUUCCGAAUCGACGAUCCAUACCGUUAAACAUUAUCUAGAGCAUUUAAAACUUCUAGAAAUCAAAUUUCAUAAUUUUUCGACAUCAUUUACCUUGCGAUCAAAAGGUCACAGAAUUGACAAUUUUUAACGGCCAGUAUGGGAUACUUGCUAGUUUAACGGUGUAAAAGAAUUGGAAUAGGUUGAAUUUUUGAUAGAAAAUUCUAUUCACUACCCCUAGAUAAAGAUCAACAACUCCGAUCUUAAAUUGAAGGAUCCGAUCAUCUAUUUUUAGGAAGUCGUUCGAUUUUGACCGUUCAUUUUAUACCCGCUUGAUAGACUUUAUAAUGAUUUCGAAAAAUUACGAAAUUUAUUUUCUAGAAGUUUCAAAAACUCUAGAUCAUAUUUAACAAAGUGAAUCGUCGAUUCGGAAGCUCCAUUAUUGAAAACAACUUACGAGUACGAAGGGCUCUGUGCUCAUAAGAGUAUAGUAGCCCUACUCUACACACACACACACACACACACACACACACACUCAAAUGUAUGAAAUUUGAUUUCUAGACACUUCAAGUGAUAAAGAUCAUGUUCAACGGUGCCGAUUGUCGAUUUGGAGUCUCCAUCAUCGAAAACAAAUGGGUUGUAAUGGAGCCUGUUUGCUAUCGAUAGUAUUCUAGCUCAACUCUCUCUAUAUAUAUAUAUUAGUAAACAAAGAUCUAAUUAGGUUUAAAAAAUGCUACUUGUACACCUAAAAGUAGUGUGUACAUUUUACACCACCAAUCCAAAGGUAUAGACUACCCUUGGGUUUGUAAUUUUUUUUCUUUUAAAAAAAGGAAUUGAUAAGUAUUGCCCCUUGGAUGCUAGGUGUGUAAGACUUGCACCCACUUUUUGGGUGUACAUGUAGCAGUGCUCUUAAAUUUGAGCACCUAGUUGCAUGCUUGUAAGUUAACACCUUAAGAUUCUUGACUCAAUUACACCUGACAUUCCCUAUCCACUAACUGUUCUUUAUGUAGAGAGCAAUUAGUCGUGAUAAUAAGGUAUUGGCACAGGGAAGGAUCUAUAAUACCUCCCUAUGCCCCUUGGCACAAUCCUUCUUUUUUUUUUUUUUUUUUUUUUUCGUUCUUUCAUUUUCGAGCAUAUAGUGUUACAGCAUCAACUUAGCUGUAUAACUAGCUAAGAAAUGGUAUGAACUCUUCAAGUCUACCAAUAAGAUUCAACUGCCAUACCUCAACAUUUAAAUGUAGUUCAAAAUAACUGACUAUUUAUCUUAGAUACGUAUUGGUUAAGCAAUGUAUAUAUUUUAGGUUCAACUUGGGUUCACUGGUUAUUUAUGGCAGUGGCUGUUGAAGUGCAGUUACGUAAAAAUGUUAUUCUAAAUUAUAUGUCAGAUCAAAACUAAUUAGUACCAUCCAACUCCACUCUUUGAAUAUGUUUGCACAGGCUAGUGGAACACAUCCUUAUUCUUUCACAGAGUUUAGUUCGGGUUCUUAAUCUUCGUUCUUGGAUGGAAUUCCCAUCCAAAAUCUUUGAUUUGUGCUUGGGGCGUUUGAGCAUGAACUUAAAAGGAGUUUUAGAACUUAUUAGUUUAAGUGAAGGAUUGGAGUUCACAUUGCAAUUCAUUGAAAUUCAGGGACUACCAUGCAAUUUAUAUGCACUGGUAUUUUCAUGCUGUAGAAAAAUGUAGCUAUAUUUACAAUUUGAUUAAAAAUUAAUUUUAGUAAAUCCAAUAAUAAUUAUUGUGCUCUCAAAAAUAAAAAUAAAUUGCACGGUAGUACUAGUGCAUAUAAAUUGCUUAUCGAAAAAAAAGAGUUGGUGUUUUCUCAUUACUUCUUUUCAUAUUAGGGAAUCCCAUAAAUCAUAAUCAUAAUGGUCCUCUCAUGUCUUGUUUUCCCAUGUGACAUAUUUCUUCUACUCUUUAUGAACUGGAAAUUCUUAUCGUUUUUUCCUGAAUCUUAAGAUGACAAUCCGAUUGAUUCUGAUACAUACCAUCCAGGCAAUCACUACACUGGACAACCAUCUUGUGGCUUUAUCCUGGAGUUUACGAGGUAUGUUAAGCUUUUAUUUCUUUAUUUUUGUUUUGUUUUGACAUUAAUAUUUCAUAGCAUAUAAAGCAAGGAUUUAAGUGCAGUGGCACGGGGUCAUGCUAAAAACUAGCCAGCACAGUACGACACGGUGUGUGCUGGACCAUGCCGUGCCGACACGUGCCGAUCGCAAAAAAUAGAUGUGUGCCGGCACAUAAUGUCAUAAAAUAUUUAUUUUCUUUAGCAAUAAAAUAUUCUAACAAUUUAUUAUGUAUCUUUAUCAAACUUUGUAAACUUCAUUGAGAAAAUUAUUUACUAAUUUAAAGAAUAUAGGGUUUUGACUACUUUGGUGCUUGCUUCAACCUGUAGAGAGAUCUUUUUAGUUUGCACACCAGACUUCCCUUCCUUGGCUGAACAAAAUCUUGAGGCUGCUCUAUAUAAAUUUCCUUAGCUAACUCCCGUUGAAGAAACAUGGGCCGAAUGUCAGUCUGCUGAAGCUUUGAAUCAAACAUAGUCACUAUAGCUAAAGUAUCCUAAUGAUGCGUGCUUCACCAUCGGCGAGAAGACUUUAUUAAAGUCAACUCUCUUUACUUGUGCAUAGCCCUUAGCCGCUAACGGCGCCUUGCAUUUUUUCUGUUCACCAUCUACAACAUGUUUUUUUUUUUUUGGUAGACCCACCUAUAAUCUCUUUUUCCUUUCGACAAUUGAACCAGAUGCCACAUCCAAUUCUUUUGUAGAGACUCCAUCUCAUCCACAUAAUAGCCAUCCAUCUUUCGUUAUAUUUGACCUGCAUCGCCUCCUGGUAGGAAGUAGGAUCACGUGAUGUAACUAAUGAAGUAUAAGACACCACAUCCUCCAACCUGUACUGUAAUGAUGGACAGAUUUGUUUCCUUUAUUUAGUGAUAGAGUAGGGCUCCUCCGAAGUGCUUUCAACUAGAUUAACCACUGUAACAUGAUCAUCCUAAUGGCGGCCCCGCUCGAUCUGAUCACCUACACCGCCUUGAUGCUCAACCUGAAUCUAUAUAGUUAUCAACUGUUCUUUAUGUUAAGCAUCUUGCUAAUCUUUUGGCAGCAUAAUAUUUUUCGUCAAAAACCACGUCCUUGCUAAUCACGUUCUUUUUAGCAACAUGGUCCGACAGCUUGUAUCCUCUAACUUCUUGCUUGUACCCAAGAAAGUUGCAAGGUCUUAACUUUGAGUCCAAUUUCAUAAGCUGACUCUCUUGGACAUGGACAUAAGCAGGACAACCAAGGGCUCAUAAUGAGGAAUAGUCUGCAAGUUUACCUAUCUAUACUUCCGGUGUUUUGAGUUCGAUCGCUAUGGCUGGAAACCGUUUGAUAACGUAGCACGCCAUAUCCACGGCUUUAGUCUAGAACUCCUUUGCAAAUCCGCACAUAACCUCAUGGAUAUACCACGCUCUAGCAGUGUCUGAUUCAGCGUUUUUGCUACCUUAUUCUGUUGUGUGCUCCUUGAAACCCUAUUUUGUCGUACAAUACAUUCAUUCUUGUAGAAUUUUUUAAACUCCCAAGAAGUGAACUCUGAACCUUUGUUUGUUCGAUGAAUUUUGAUAUAUUUUUCCUUUCAGUUUGUUUAUCUAUCUCGUUUUUUCAAUGUUUGACCGAUGCGAGCACAUCAAACUUCUCUUUCAUGAAAGAAGACCCAAACCUUACAAAAAAAAAUCAUCAAUAAAUGUAACCAAAUACUGUGCACCGCCUUUUGGAGCCACCGUAGCUGGUCUUGACACAUCCACAUGGAUGUACUUACAUUUGCCUGAGUUUAAUGACUAGAUGUCCUAAAACUCAGCAGUGUCUAUUUUCCAAAUAAAUAAUUCUAGUUAAGGAACCCGCGCGAUGCGGCGAGCAGUAUAGAACCAAGGUUUUAAGUACCGGUCGGCACGGACCGUAUCCACUGUGCCGUACCGUGCCAACAAGAUACCGGCAUGAUACAGACUCCGUGCCGAUGGCACAGCUCAAAACCCUCUAUUCUUUAAAUUAGUAAGUAAUUUCCUCAAUAAAGUUCAAAAGAUGUGAUAAAAAGAUAUAAAUAGUUAGAAUAUUUUGUUGCUAAAGAAAAUAAAUAUUUCAUACUAUUAUGUGUCGCCACACAAGAAUUUUUUGACCGGCACGCAUCGGCACGCAUCGGCACGCACUGUGCUGUACCGUGCCGGCAAGUUUUCGGCACGACCUUGUGCCACGGCACUUAAAUCCUUGUAUAGAACAAUUAAAAAUUAAAGAAUUAAACUAAAAUAUAUUUCUUUCUCAAAAUAUCUAAACCAAAUAACUAAAAUAAAUAAACUAGUUUAAAAUAAAAGAAAAGUUCAUUGUACUAUUUUUCUAUUAUCAUCAGCAUAGAAUUUACAAAUAAAAAAAUAUAAAAAAAUUAAUUGGAGUGAAAGCACUAUCUUUGGUAGCAUUGGUGGUAGCAUCCUAAUCGUCGUCGCUGACGAUGAAAGAAACCCCUCGUUAACUUUUAUCACUGCAUAUACAACUAAUAAUGUUUUUGAUUUCUAAAUUUUCUUUCAUUUAUUUUAUUUAUAGAUUAUAGAUAGAUAGAUAGAUAAAGAUUUUAAUUUUCAAAUUAAUUCUGGAUGUAAAUUCAAAAUUUUGAAUUUUUUUUUUGGGGACUAAAAUGAAAAACCUGCAAAGUUUAGAGAUUACGGACCAAAAUAAAAAAUAGUGGAAAGGUUGGAGCCCAAUGUGCAAUUAAUCCUUUAAAAAAUUAUGUGGGCCCUACACCCACCCAAAAUAAGGGAAGGCCUUCUUUGGGUUCUCCUUUCAUAUAUUUAUAAAUAGGAUUUAAUACCUUUGAAUACUUGCGUUUUAUGCAGUUCAAAUAUCCCCUUUUCAAUUAGAUGGGCUAAUCUCGUAUACCAGAGCUCCAUAUCACCAACAUCAUAAUCUUCUGAGGAUGUUACUGCAACACCUUCCAUCAUUGACUCGUCGAUCAGUUUAUACAAGUUCCGUUUUUCUCUCCCUUCAUGACGACUAUGACACCCUUUUUCACCUUAAUGAUUUUCCUUGAAAUACUAGUAGAACAACGAACAGAGUAAAGAGUAGCAAGCAAUAUUAGAUUAAAUCCAAGACCUAGAAUGUCUCUCACAUCCGUUACUGCCCUCACCACAUUAUCAACAUCCUUAUUAUUACUCUUCCAACAACGAUCAUCUUGCAGCUUUUGUGAUUACUCAUCAUAAUAUUACUACCUUCACAAGACUUACAAGUAUUGAAAAAAGACAUGACUAUUGUUAUAUGGUAAGAACAACCCAAAUCUAAUAUCCAGCCAUCGAGAGAUCAGGAACUUGUUGAAACCGUCAAAAUGUCUGACUAGGGUUGCUAACUACACUUGUCGUGUCUGUUGAGGAAUUCUGUUUUUAAUAGCCAAAUCUUCUUCUCAAAAUUUUUCUUUAGUGGCCCUCUUUCUUGCAGAUGUAACAUUUUAUUAUUUUCGAUUGAUUUGGAAUAGGAUCUUCCCUUAUCAGCAUAACAUUCUUUGGAUGUCACGUCUCAAACACGGAUACGCCGCAUAUCUGUUAAAAUAGCAAAUGCGCUAGGCCACAGAACCAAACAGAAAACAGGCAAAACAAAGAUCAUAAAAAUCUCACUAAAUCCAAAGAAUAAAAAAUAUGAGAUUAACAACUAAAUUACAACUAGGAUCAAAAUAAGUUCUUACAUAUAUAAAACUAAAGUUUACUACGAAACACAAAUGAAAAUUCGGUCCAAUAGAUACCUUAAAUAACAAAAAUGCGGGGUACGUAGAAAGAAUGAAACAUAAGCAAUUAAACAAAUGAUAGUUUACGAAGUUCAAAUAUUCACAUCUAACUAUACCAGACAUAAAACCAAAAGAAACUAAAUUCAAACAAUAACUACAUCUAACGUUCACUCGGUCUUGCUCCUGCCCGGCAAAUCAUUCUCGGUGGUUGGUUUGACCUGGCAAUUUCUACUUGUACCCGCGGGUUACCCGUGAAUUGCGGCUAUGGAUACUAGUUUUUCUUACCCAAAAAAUUAUGGGUAAAACGGGUAGGUACCCAUUAAGUUGUUGUCAUUUUAGGUAACCCACGGGUACGUACCCACAGGUACCUACAUAUAUCUUUUUAAUUAAAGAUAUAUAAUCUUUACAAUAUUGACUCUAUAAUCAUGAAAAUUUUAUUAAUUUUGUACCAUUAAAAUUUAAGAUGAUAAAAUAUUUUAAUACUAUAUAAUUUAUACACUUUAAGAUUUUGUAUUGUUUAUUAUAUGUUAUGAUAUUUCAAACAAUAAGUUUUGUUAUAAUUUUACAAAUUAUAUAUAUGUAUUUUGUAUUCGAAAGUACAGGAGCAAAAAAAGGAAAAAAAUUUUUAUGGGUAACCCGCAUACCUACCCGCCCGCCUAUGGACGGGUACCGGUAAAGACGUUGGCUGCCCAAAAAUUUACUGGUAAAUUUUAUCUAUACCCAUAUGACCCACGGGUAUAAUGACCUGCUCGCAUGUUACCCAACCCGCCAAUUUGCUAGGUAUAGUAACUGGGUAAGCAAUCAUACAUCACAUUAGUCGGAUUAAGCAUAUAAAGAAAAAAAUAACAAAAGUAUUGAAGUAAAUUUUCAUACAAAAAUUAAUUUAAGCGAUUGGUCUUUAAUUUGCAAAAUUUUAGAAAACUGAAAUUAUCAGAAUUUAAAAUUCUGAUCAAACAGGGACUUCAAAGUUACAAAGUAUUUUCUCUUUUAGCAAAUAAACGAAAUAAAAAUUAAGUCUUCAGUAAUUAACUAUAUCGUGUGAUCCACUGGCGAGAUUCAGAGGCACCCGUAGGCGCUAAUACAAAACAGCGGCACUUGAAGGUGUAUAUGCAGAAUAGAGGCGCUCGAAAGCACAAAUACAGAACAGAUGCGUGGAUAAGCGCAGGCACCUAAAGGCGUAAUAUAGGGACGAAGUCAGCUUCUAUAAUAUAAUACAUGUCGAUAUGGCCAACAUUAGCAUAGCAUUACACCGAAAGACAUUAUAAUUUAAAAAUGUUUUUCCAGCCACUAAUUUACAGAAUAGAUUAUCAAAUUUUAAAAUUCUUUUAUUAAGGAACCUAUCAAUCAAAGAUGAAACUCAUUUUCCAGAAAUGUUUAAUAAUAUGCUUAAUCCUUAAUUUUAAAAAUCUACAAAAUAAAGAUUUUCGCAUAAUUAGAAUAUUUCCUAAAUUAUUUUGCAUAAAACUAAUGGGUAUUCAGUCGCUUGACUAUAAAAAUAGCUCAUAAGCUAAGAAGCUAUCCAGUCGAAAAUGUACAGGGAGUCGAUCAUCAGAACCUAAAUUAAGAAUUACGAUUCUCUAUAAGCUACUAAAAAUAAAAUUACAAAGAUAAUAUAAGUAUUUAGAGAGAAAAGUUUAUACAAACAAUUAAAUUCGGAUACGCUAACAUAGGUUGACGAGGUCGGUUAUAAAUACAUGCAAAUAGGUUGGGAGGGAGCACGAAGGAGAUUGAGAAUAAUAAACCCAACGAAACUCAACUAUCAAUCAAAAAGAUGAAGAGUUUUAAUGGUUAAACUAUUCGAAGGAGCAAGAUAAAUGAAUGGAAUUUUAAAUAAUAAACAAAGGUUCUAGUGUUCGAAAAGAGGAUUUUCAGAUGUUGUAAUAUAAUUUUACAAUCUGCAAUUUGAUGGGAUCAAAAUUAGAAACAAAAACGAUAUUUGCUUUCUCUUAGGCAUUUUAUCGAACACCUAGAGGACAAUCCAAAUAGUAUGUAGAAUGUACGAAAAUCACACAACUAAAAUUCAUGAUGAUACAAGAUAAAAAUAACAGUAGAAUCAACAGUGAUUUUAGAUCGUUACAAAUAAGAUCUGAAUGAUUUUAAUACUAAUCAUCAAGAGAAGAACACCCAAACAUAAUCACGCAAAUAUCGAUAAGAAAAUUGGAUGCUCUCAAGAAUAGGUGUAGAGACAAAAUGGAAACAGAGGAACCUUCUCAAAGAUGGAAACAACGAGGAGAUGCCCUCAAUGGCGAAUAAAAAAUGCCGACAAGGAUCAUGGAACACGGCUGCAGCGGCAACGGUGACGGCCACGGAUAAAGGUGGACGAGGGUGAUCAAACAGCAUUGUGCGCGUGCGUGAGCGUGUGGGAGAGAGGCGCGGCACGAGAGGGAAGACGAGUCGUGAGAGGGAGAUGUGUAGCAUGGGAGAGGGAGCAGCUGGGUGGUACGAUUAGGAGAGGGAAUUGAAAUUAGGGAUUUAAUUAACACAAUAUGCCGUCAGGUCCCUCAACUAUUAAUAUUUACAAAAAGGUCCAAAUUCCAAAAGAAUAGGAGUCCAAACAAAAGAAAUAUAAGUAUGGGGUGUUACGUUGGAUCUUCCCUUUCUACCUUCUGUAUUAUGUUUUAUCAUAUCCGCACCGUUUUCCCCAGCAUUUGAGUGCAUCCUGAUCAUCUUAGAUAGGAGGGUUGACAUAACAUUUUUCAUCUUAAAUGUUUGCUUGCUGUAUAGUAUGGUGGUCACUACAUGAUUGUAGGACAGUGGAAGUAACAUGAGGAAAAUCUACGCUUUAUCAUUCUCAUCAAUUUUCAUAUUAGUGUUGAGCGAAUAUGUAAUAAUCUUAUUAAACGUAUUCUAGUGUUCCUUAAUUGCUGUAUCUUUUUCAUGCAUAGCUUGUACAAUUUUUGCUUUAGGUAUAGCAUAUUAGGGACUUUUUUUCCAAAUAACCCUACAAAAUUUUAUGAUUGGCUAAAUAACCCUGUGAAAAAAUUAUUUGACCAAAUAACCCUCCUUUUGCCAACUCAGUGCCAGGGUGGAUAUUUUUGCCAAAAGUGGGGAACCUUUCACCGUCUUCAAGAAGACGACGAAUAAUUUACCACCUUCUAAAUUUUCAAUUAAAGUGGUGAAUCAUUCACCGAUCUUGAAGCAAUGAAUGAUUCAUCACUCUUAAAAGAUUUCUAGACAACUCCACAAAUCCCCAAUAGAUACCUUAAAUUCCAUACACAAUUUCUUUGUACGACAAAUUUCUAGUAGAUACCUCAAAAAAUAUUGGGCAAGGGCAUUUGAUGGAGGACGAUGUUUUGGGUUGAUGACCACGAAUUUUUCUGAAAGCUUAAAUGGGGUAUUUAAGGGAGUUCGUGCUUUGCCUGUCAUGGCUUUUGAUGGCUUAGGGACACAUUGUCCGAGGAUUUGGGCUUGUAGAAUUUAAGGUAUCUACUAGGGAUUUGUCGUACAACAUAAUUGUGAAUGGAAUUUGAGGUGUCUAUUGAGAAUUUGCCAUACCAUCUUUUGUUAAUUAGGUAUAUGAGAAAUCUCUUAAAAGCGGUGAAUCGUUCUCCUCCGGAAAAAAGGCGGUAAACUAUUCACUGCUUUAGUAGGUAAUUUAAAGGCGGUGAAUUGUUCGCCGUCUUCUUGAGGGCGGUGAAUGAUUCACUGCUCUUGACAGAAUUAUCCACUUUUGCGCAGACUUGGCAAAAGGAGGGUUAUUUGACCAAACAAUUUUUUAUAGGGUUAUUUAUCCAAUUAUAAAAUUUUACAGGGUUAUUUGAAAAAAGGGUUAAUUGCAUACAAUUUCCUGUAAACAUAGCGAAUUGUAAAUAUAUCCUUACAAAGUUCAAUUUAUGUUAUUCUUGCGAAAGUCAAGUUAUAUAUUUAUAUUUGUCGCUCUGGUUUGUUACCGUUAUAGAACUGUUUAUUUUUUUACAGCAGAUAAGUGAAAUGUCAAUUUUCCUAUCACAAAUAUAUCCCUCCAAAAGCCCCAAUUGCUAUAAUCGUGCAGAUAUGUCCCACCAAAAAACUUUUAAUGGUCAUCUUCUUCCAUUUUAAAACCUAACUCAAUUCACCAUUGUUGCAACCUCUUCUCUCACUCUUCUCCUAAACUUUUUCUUCUGAGCAAAAUAAGAAACAAUCAAAGAGGAAACUGAAUGGGAAAGCAACAUGUGUUCGACAUGGGCGAAGCAGCAUACGUCAUGGAUGAAUGGGGGCGGAGAAAUUCUAGUUACGAAUUCGAAACUAGCAUGAAGGAGAGAGAGGAAGAGAAAGAAGUAAAAGAAUUCCCAUUGCUAGGAUUUUGAUUGAGAGAAGGUAUAAUAUAAAAGGGGUAAAAUAUCAAUUUACCUCAUUGACUAACCAUGGUUAAGUAUUUUAUCUGUGGUUAACUAAAUUUUUUUAACGGAUCCUAACGGCAGGGAUAUAUUUGAAAAUAUUAGGACUUUUGCAGGGAUAAUAUAAAAAAGUUGAACUUUGUGGGGAUAUAUUUGCAAUUCACUAUGUUUAUAGGGAGCUGUAAACCAUGAGAAAAAGUUCCAACACUAGAGAGGCUCUUCCUCAUGCAUAGGUUCUUUAGGUUCGUGCCACAUGUUGACAAUAGUUUCUUCAUUCAUUACGUUGUGCAUCUCUUAAUUUGCCAGGUGCAAUAUAAUUAUAUAAAUCGCCCACAAAUUAAUCUUCUCCCAACUUCUUCACUCAUUGAUGCUGGUUUGUUCAAUAUUCCAAGCAGCACCUCAUGAAGGCCCCGUUGAAUGCGAAGGGUUUUCAAUCUUCUUUGCUAGAGACCGGAAUUUUCUUUUUCAUCAAAUUUCGUGACCUCGAACUUGGUAGCCGAGACUAUCAAUUGUAGCACACAUCAUAUGCUCUUAUUCCACUUGUUGGGAACUCAAUUGAUUGUUCUUCAUGUGCUUCUGACACAGAUUGACAAAAACAGAGAAAAUUGAAUGAUAAAAGAAAUAAAUACAAAAAGAAGAGACUAAUAUUUACAUGAUUUGGCAAUUGCCUACAUCUACGAGGAGAGCGGGAGAUAUGUAUUCCUCCAUUUAAAAAAAUAAAAGUACAAGAUUUCACCUCAUGUCUUCUCCAAAAACACAACCAAAAGCCUUAUGAUGAAUUCCACCCGCCUUUUGUUAAUCCAAGAAAAGAUCCAAAAAAACACCCGAAAAAACUUUCAAAUUCUUAAUUAAAGGAGACAAUUUAGAGAAUAAUAGAAUUUCUUAUCAAAAUACUUUAUGGGUUCAUAAGAAGGCACCAUAUUUAACAGGAGCUUGUCAGCAGAGUAGUACUUAUGACUUCUUCAUCUAUGAUGUGUUCGACUAUCUCGCUUUUUGAAUUGUUGGUAGUGGGCAAUCCAUCUGUGAUAUCUAGUUUUAAUAUGUGCCCUAUUCGAAUUCGAAUCUUUCAUAUUAUGCUUGAUGGUCUUUUGUUUAUUCAAUAUCAGAUAAAAUUUAUUGUUGAUGGUAAUUGGAGAACCGAUUCCCGGCGAGAGAUUGUAACUAGCGGAAACAUCACCAACAAUGUGCUGAGGGUGGAUCAAUGAAUUGAACAUCUCUUUUCUCAAUUGAUUAUGCCAAGGUACAUUACCGUGCUGCCAUGCUGAGAAUUACAUUUGUUUCUGUGGCUGCAAAACAAGCUUUCUUGCACACUAGAGUUCUUGUCAAGAAAAUAGUCCGAUGCAGUAUUCUAAUAAGUGCUAAAAUCUCUCUCUAUAAGAUCAUCUAUUACAUAGCUGCCCUGUAAAAUGUAAGGAAUUCUUAUUUAUCUCUUGGAAAUGCACUUCCUUAUGUUUGGAAGUCACCCAAUUUAUUGAGAGUUGCUCUUAUAUUACAAAAAGUGUUUCAAGGAGGAGAGCUUUUGUAAAUACAAGGUUAUAUGUUUUGAGACUAAUAUUGGAGGUCUCGUUAGAAAAUUUAGAAUUUGCAGGGAGUAAUAUAUGUAAAUAAGUAAAAUUUGCAGGUUUGUAUUUGCAGAUCUAUCUUUAAUGGCAACUUGACUUCCACUAGUCUUACUCUUCACUUUGUUCUUUUCAUGCAGGAUUGAAACAGUAAAGAAUAUGUGCUCCAAGAGUUCAUGGAGUCGGAGCCUCAGAGUGCCAAUCUUCGUGCAAUGACCCAUCAAGCCACCUCCAUUUUUCCCCUAUAACUCUAUAAUUUCUUUGCUAGUGCAGCGCCGACUAACGAUCAAUAUCAUAUGCGAAGAAAAAGAUGCCCAUCUGUGAGCUGGAUGUGGUCAAUUUUCUUUCUUGAAAACGGACAUAAUGGAAAUAUGAUCCAAAUUAAGUAGAUAAUUUAUACACAGUAGUAUAUAGAGGGGGAAACUAAGGAAGUGGCUGCAGAUCAGUGAUCCCCUUUUCCCUUGAACCAAUGCAGUCAUGGGGCAUAGAGAGACCAUGCUUGUGUAUUAACCGUUUUUUAAUCCAGACAGAAGCUUGUGUUCUUAGUUAUGUGCAUAUUUUGGAGAUUCAACAAUAAUUGAUUAUGAUCUUGUACAAUGCAGUAUGAAUUGGAGACGUAUCUUAAAAAUCAGCGUGGGAGGACAAAAAAGGAGACACGAAAGAAUUGGCUGUGCUCCUAGGACAAGUCAAACCUUACUAUUUGCAGUGUAGCUGUUGGUUCUAUUAAAGGGCAUUCUUCAGGAUCGUGCAUUGUCAUUCUCUAAAGGCACAUCCUCGUGAAUAUUUUAAAGACACAGCUCUAUAGACAAAUUAAUUUAGUAAGGAGGAGCAUCUGAAAAUAACUAGUUGACGGAUCAAAUAUCGGCACACCAUUCUAAAGUUGACAAGUAAUUUUUAUAUAACUAUGAACUUCUCAAUGUGGAUAUUCUUUUGAACAUAGGUAUCCUUCUAAACAUAUAUUUCGGCAUACGCUUAAUCAGGGCCACAAGUCACUAUUGCUCUUGACUUGACGAGGGCGGCCACGGAUACUUGCUCUGUUGCUGAAGUGAACGGCGGCCGAGUGCUAGGGUCGGUCCCUCGUGGGGUCAGUAAUGGCAAGAGGAGCCUGAAGGAUUAGGGCAAAUGCGGGAGGCCAAACAGGAGGGAUGUAGGUAGAUGGAUUCGAUAGGGAUUUGGGGAGUAAAGUAGUAGUAAGUAGUGGUAGUGGGUCGAGUUGUCGGGGACCGGGUCUGAUUGGCUGGGCUGGACUGACAGUUGCUCACAGAGCCUUCCAACUCAAGCCCAUACGAGGAGCGUACCCAGAAAGGAGAUCCAGCCUGGUAGUAGAUUGAGAACCCGGGAGACCCAUUGGGAUAUUCUAUUUUUAUUUUUUAUUUUUACUAUCCUCUAGUUUUUAUGAAAUUGCGUAGUAUUCCUUAUGUGAUAGGUAUAAAUAGAAAAGGGGGAUAGAAUCCUAUCUUCUUCUCCAACCAUCUCUCUCCUCCUCCUCUCUUCUCCUCCCUUCUCUUCCUCUUCCCUCUUCUGGAUCUUCUUUUAUUUCACCUAUCCUCGAUUCAAUUUGAGGAUUCCAUCAUCUCCAUCCUGAGAUUCUCAGAGCAAGUUUAUCAUCGGAUUUGAGGGUCGAUCAGAAUAUUGCAAAUUGCUAUCAAAGCAGCAUCAGUCCUAGGGAGGAGAGGUAGUAGCUAGGGUUAAUAGAGGAUCGAUAGAUCCGAGGAAUUGAUACAGGAGCGGCGAAUAACCUGCAUUCUGGAUUCCAACUUCGGUUGUAGAGUCUCGGAUACAAGGGUUAGCUAGGAGCAACAAUUGCCUCUGCCAGAGCAUGAUCGACAACUAGGGAAUCAGAUAUUAAUUACUGCGAGCCAUACUUGGGGGAGCCAUUGGGUCGAGUUGAGGCAAUCACUCCAAAUUUAUUAGUAAGGCAUUCAUGGCUGAGGGUACCAGGCUUAAAUUGCUCAACAAGAACGUCCACGCCUUAGAGCAGAGGUUGCAGGAGAUGGCAGUGGGCAACGAUCAGAAGUUCGAGGAACUAAAUUGAAAGAUUGAGGCUAUGCAAGCAAAGGGGCAGAAACAUUAUGAAUCCCUGCGUCGUGAAACAGCAAAUUCAUCAAAGAGGCCGGAGCAACUUAUGGAUCUACUGUGGAAUUAAUAGCAGCAAUCAGCAUCCAAGGGGACUUCCGCAUCGAUUACUCAGGAGGAAAGAGGUAUCCUACCAACACCCCAAAUUCCUAUAGCAAAAGAAGAUAAUGUUGCAUAUCAUUUGCAUAUUAAAAUUUGCAAUCAAUUACCUACACCUCGAUUGGAAUUCCCUACGUUCAGUGGAGAUAAUUCUAGAAACUGGAUUAGGCAUUAUGAGAAAUACUUUGAGAUUCAUGGGAUUAGAGAGCCACAGAAAUUGGAGAUAGCAGCAAUGUACUUGGAACCUAGAGCAGAUACUUAGCUCCAUAGUUACUUAGUAGAGAAAGAGGUGGUGUGCUAGGAAACUUUUGCUCAGGACUUGUGUAGGCGUUUCGACUCCAAUGGACUGAGAGAUGUAGUGGACAAAUUUAACAAGUUGGUAUAGCAUGGGAUAGUGGAAAAAUAUCAAGAAUCGUUUGAGGAACUUAGAUCAAGAUUACCGACUACUAAGUCCCACUUCACACCAAAUUAUUUUUUAUCUAGUUUUUUAAGUGCACUUAGGGAAGAGAUAAGGAUGGUUGUUAAAAUGUUACAACCCAGUACCCUGGCGCAAGCCCUUGAACAAGCUAGACUGCAGGAGCAGAGCAUAGCUGCCAUGAUGAAGAGGAGCAAAAUGUUAUUUAAAAAUCAGGGAUCAACUCAAUUCAACAAUUAGAAAGGCAACGGCUUAGUAGCGUCGGCUAGGACCAACAACACCACCAGGAACUACGCUAGCAAGUACAAUGCUGAGAGGGCACCCCCAAAUAGACAGCUUAUAAAGCAGAGAAGAGCAGCAAGAUUAUGCUUCAAGUGUGGAGACAAGUACUCACCAGGGCACCAAUAUAAGCAACAAAUAAUCAAUAUCCUAAAUGCUGCUCAGGAAGUGACAGAAGUGUAUGAUGAAAAUAGCCUUCGGGAGCCAGUUGAGAGGGAAGAAUAAGAAAAUGAAGAGGAAGAGAAAUCGGUUUGUCCGUCCACGCCUUAUGUGCAGAAAACCCACAUAAGGCUAUAAAGAUACAAGGAGAGGCAAUAGAUAAGGCCUUGGUAAUUCCAAUUGAUACAGGGACCCGCAUAGCUUCAUCGACAUACAAACUGCUAAGGAGAUAAAAGCAACCAUUACAACCACCACACCCUUGUUAAUAACCGUCGCUGAUGGCCAGAGGGUACUAAGCAAAUUAAAAUGUCCCAAUUUUUCUUAGAAGAUGCAAGGAGAGGAAUACAUUGCCGUGUUGUGAGUAAUUCGAUUGGAAGGAUCCGGCAUGAUAUUGAGGAUUGAUUGGCUAAAGACUCACGGGCUGGUCACGUUUGAUUAUGCCCAGAACACUGUCACUAUUUUCGAGGAAUAAAGGAGAGUGGAUGUCACGCCCCGAGACCGCUAUCAAUUUGGUCCGGUUCAGGUGCGUCGAACAGACGCCGGACGGACAGCACCUCCCCUGUCCGCCCAAGGCUCACCGCAGGAUCAUGUACAAAGAAUUUUCCCAGGGAUAAUUCAAUACAUACAAGAUCCAACGAGGAGAGAAGCACAAAGAGUGCUAUACAACAAGAGCAAGUAACACAAGUAUACAUACAAGUGCAUAAAGAGAGAUACAUCUAGCUAUUACAUCACAUUCAACCUUUGUAUGUAUAUUUACAUUUUUUAUCUCACAAAAAUGAAUACAUUUUCAUCUCAACAUCUAGAUACAUGAGUACUCUCCAAAAUACAACCAUAUCACCUAUGUACUCGAGGGUACUCUAGUACAAA